UUUUUUUUUUUUUUGUACUUCAAAAGGUAGCAAAAUGUACACACACAUUCUUCAUUCUUGAAAAUAUGAUCUAUGGGAAUCAAAAAAUCAAAAUGUAAUUUGAGUUUAUCAAAUUUACUCCCUCCGUUCCAUUGAAAAUAUCAUACUUUCCAUUUUGGGAUGUUUUAAAAUAUUUGUUCUGUUAAAAAAGUCAAAACACUUUUUAGUAUCUUUUUUUAAUAUAACCCUUCUUUCUAAUCAUAUGCAUGUUAUUAUUUAAAUUUAAAUUUUGAAUUUGUGAGGAUAAAAUUGAAAAGAGAAACACAAACAUCACAAUCAAGCCACUAUUUUUAAAAAGUUGGAUUUUUAAAACAUGACUAAAUAAUUAGAACGGAGGUAGUAACUUGCUUGAUUGCCAUUGUGCUCAAAAUUUCUUAGCUGCGGCCACGGACAAUAGAGUGGGCUAUGUCUCUUCUUCUUAACCACCCUCAAGAGCUGCAAAAGGCUAGAGCUGAGCUAGAUGAAACCAUUGGUCAAAACCUUUUAAUAGAAGAUCAAGAUCUUCCGAAGCUGCAUUACCUACAAAGCAUCAUUUAUGAAUCGCAAAGAUUAUAUCCAGCUGGUCCACUCCUCUUUCCACGAGAAUCAUCAAGUGAUUGCACCAUUGGAAAACUACAAAAUGCCCUCUAAAACUAUUUGGGAGAGAACGACUCAAUAGUUGGUACAGGCCUUAGUAUGCCUAAAGUCUUGCCAUUAGAGUAGGGAUGUAAUCAAAUCGAAUCGAUCUCGAGUAUGGCGGAGAGAACGACUUAAUAGUUGGUACAAGUCUCAGUGUGCCUAAAGUCUUACCAUUAGAAUAGGGAUGUAAUCAAAUCGAAUCAAACUCGAGUAUCGUCAAACUCGAGCUCGACUUGACAAGCAAAAAGGAUGCUCGAACUUAAACUCGAGCUCGAUCUCAAGCGAGUAGUAUUAUUGGAAAUCGAGUUCGACUUCGAUACAUUGCGUACAAAUCUCGAGCUCGACUCACAUGGAUUCGAUCAAUGAGAGCCUUAUCGAGCUCGAGUUAGAAAAUUUCAUUUUCUUGACAAUUUUUGAACGAAAAGAUAUUAUUGCCCUUUAAAAAAAUUUUAUAACCAUUCUUUUGAGUAUAAGGGUAAUUUUAUAAUAAUAAUAUAUUAAAGAAUUAAAAUUAAAAAACUCGAUAAGACUCGACGAGCUUUCAAGCAUUGUUUUUAGAUACUCGAACUCGAGUUACUCGAUUUAUCGAGGCACUCGAACUCGUCAAGUUUUUGACCGAACUGCCCAGCCCUACAUCAGAGGCAAUCUACAGCCCUUGCCAAGCCAUGAUUAAAGUUCUUGCUGGGAUAUGAUAUCGCAUUUGCUAAAAUACAAUCUGCAGGUCUCUUUGUUUAUUUGACUAAUACCACCCCGUCUAUUAGCUUUAUUGUACUGAUUAUAACUUACAUUUUGUUACUUUGGAAUAAUUUUUAGCUUAUCUAUAAAAAAAUUUUCUAAAAUACAAGGUGCCUAGAUUGAGUUUUCAACGGGCAUCAUAAUUUGUGGCUUUGGAUUCUCUACCCACUCAAUUUCUGGGCCAAUUUCUUUUCCACUCUUUUUAAGGACAACAAGUGUAUAGUUGCAACACUAUUUUAGUGUAUGUACUUUAAUAUUUUACUAGACAUAUUAUUAGAUAUGAGUAAUUGAUCUAAUGGUUUAAUUUUUUAAAAAAUUUUGUGAGCUUUCUAGGCGUUUUGUAAUGAAAUUGUUAAAGAGGAGGCAAAAUCAGUUAAUUUUGUUAUUAAAUUGUGCAGGAGGAGGUGAAAUAAGUUAACUCCGGUUGUUAUGAAACUUUGUGGAGUCCGUUCGUCCCACCAAAUUUGCUUUUAAUUCAUUCAUUGCUAUUCCAUAGCACACAAAAACGACGUCUAGUGACUGGCAUAUAUUUUACUUUGUUAGGUGUAUUUUGCAAAAUAUGGUCCAAGUUUGGUAAAUUGGUUUGACUUUAAUUUCGAGUUUGGCUCAUGUAAAUUAACUUACAAUCUCGACUCAAGUUGAACAUAAAUGAGCUUGAUUUGAAAUCAACUCUCUAUUAAAUCCCUGUGCGUUCCAACUCUAUAUAAGAUGGAAAAGUGUAAAAGACAAUGCACAUAAACCUAGCUACACGAAGAAAAGCUCCUCUAACAAGAAAAAGAGAGGCAUGGAACAAAAUUUGUUGAGCACCAUUUCCUUAUUGUUCUUAAGCUUAAUUCUUCCAUUGCUCCUUUUACACAAAAAAAGGCAGAAAAAAUCUCUGCCACCAAGCCCUCCUUCCUUGCCAAUGAUAGGCCAUCUUCAUUUGGUAAAACCACCACUGCACAGAACCUUGAAGCGCCUUUCUGAUAAAUAUGGUCCAAUAUUGUCCCUAAGGUUUGGUAAUCAACUUGCGGUUAUAACAUCUUCACCUGUUGUUGUCGAAGAAUGCUUAACCAAAAAUGGCAUUAUUUUCGCGAACAGGCCUUCUGGACUUGCUACGAAGUACCUCACCUACAACGGUACCACUAUGACUUCUGCACCCUAUGGUCCUCUCUGGAAAAGACUUCGAAGGAUCUCUACCAUGGAACUCUUCUCAGGAACUCGCCUUAACAUGUUUUCGGCAAAUCGACAGGAAGAAACCAAGUUACUAGUGAAAAAUCUAUACAAAAAAUCAUCCCAGAAUUUUGCAAGAGUGGAGAUACGAUCCCAGAUGUUGGAGAUGACCAUUAACAAUAUAAUGACAAUGUUUUUGGGAAAGCGGUAUUAUGGAUAUGAAGUGGAAGACAAUAAGGAGGCUUUGCAAUUUCGGGACAUUGUUCGGGAAAUGUUUGAGCUGGCGAUUUUCUCUCCAGUGGAUUAUUUACCAAUUCUGAGAUGGUUUGGUUAUCAGAAUCUGGAGAAUAGAAUGAUUGCAUUUCAGAAAAAAUCUGAUGAGUUCUUGCAACGUCUGCUAGACAAACAGCGAACUUCUCCAACUGGGGAUGGAAGGGGGACGAUUAUGGAAGUAUUGCAGUCCACGCAAGAAUUGGAACCUGAAUUCUUUUCGGAUGAUAUCAUCAAAGGUUUUGUACUGGUACGUAGAUUUAAUACAGAUUAGUGCUUAAUGUCACUCCAUCCACGUUCUAAAAAAGAAAGAUUCAAACCCAAAUUUGGAAAUGAUCACGAAAAAUCACAUUUACAUAGGAUUGUGAUCACAGUCCUUUCUACCACUCAACAAUCCUAAGUUUGAGCAGCCAUAUACUACUUUUAUCCUUUUUUAUCAUGCACUCUUCAAUGUUUGUAUCACCUUUCACUUUAAAGUUUUAGUUUGCAUAAUAUGCUGCUUGAAAUUUUUUGUGUUUGAAUACGCCCUGAUGAUGAUAUAGUGGUAUCUUUUUUUAUUUUUAUUUUUUAUUUUCUUGAUAAGUGAGAGAUUUUAAACCCAUAACCUUUCACUUAUAAUUUCUCUUACCUUAUCACGUAACUCAACCCUUCCCCUAAUAUAGUGAUAUUUGUCAAAUGAAAUAAAAUAACAGAAGGGAGGAAUAUAAUUUUGAUCCCUAAUGCUUGGGCUACAUGUUAAACAGGUUCUUAUUAUUUAGAUCAAACAAAUGUGAUUGUCAAAAUUUUUUAUUUUCUUCAAAUUUAGGGCAAUUAGUGGAAAACUACAAUAGUUAACGGUUAAAAUCAAAUAGGUAUAAUUCUGAUCCCUAAUGCUUAAGAGUAUAGAUCUAUAUAAUCCCUUAGAUUUUAAUAUUUAUGAUGCCCAAUAUUUGGCCUAUAUAUAUUAAAUAGGUUAUUAUUUGAAUCAAACAAAUGUGAUUGUGAAAAUUUUGAUCCUUAAUGUUUAAGAAUAUUGAUCUAUAUAAUCCCUAAUGUGACUCUAUAAUGUUGAUCCCUAAUGUUUAAGAGUAUUGAUCUGUAUAAUCCCUUAGAUUAUAAUAGUUGUAAUAAGCGUUUUAAGAUGAAAUUGCAUUUCAAGCUGAAGCAUGAUGGUUGGUUCCUUUCAUGGAUUUCUGCUGCUUUUGGUCAUAUCAACAACGAUUUAGCCAAAUUGAGAACCAUUUGGAACUUUAAUGUACUAAGCGUAUCAUUGAUCAAAACUUUAAAAUGCGCAAAGUGGAAUAAACACAAAAUGAAAAUGCGAAAAAGAAGCAUGUAAGUGGCAUAUCAUUUUCUGUUAUAAAUGAACUGCAUAGUGCAUAGGUAGACAAAACCUUUUCUUGAAUAUCCAAAAUUUUGGUGUUCCUUCAAAUAUUUCAUAAAAAAGAAAUGUAAUAAAUAUCUUAUACUUGUUGAUGUACACACAUAGAUAUAUUACAAAAAUACAACACUAUUUUAAAAAAAAAAUGUUUAAAAAAAGGUGAGAAAAUAUUUACUAUUAGUAAAAUCUGGUGUUAUGAUUUACCAUUUAUCAAUUUUCUUAGUGGACUUCAUCACGGCAAUACUUAAGAGUAGUCUCACUUGUCACCAACCUCAUGCCUUGAAUCCUUUUAUCUUUACCUCAUUUAGAUAGGAGAUUAUACGAAAUAUUACUUGAAAUAAUUAUUAUAAUACUUUUUUAUGAUAUGAUGUAUGUGAGAUAAAAAAAUUGUUGAGAAAAUAAAAAAUUAAUUGAAAUUAUAAUUGCGAUACAAGUAAAAUAAUAUUUAGAAAAAAUAUUGCUAUUCAAACACUCUCGCUGUUACUUGUGGGACAAUGUAAAACUAAACUACCAACUAACUUACAAGUCUGGAUACUUCAACAAAUUAUUCUUGAUUAAAUUCUACUUAAGACUCUUAAAUUAUAGACGUAUGCUGUUUAAACUUUAGACUUCAUUUUUUGAAUAAUUUACUUCCUAAAAUAUGAAAUUUAUUCACUUUAGUCCUUAAGCUUCAUUUUCAGAUACUUCGCCCCCUAGAGUAUAAGAUCUACCCAACAAAAUUUUCAAAACUAAUGGAAUAGUAGGCAAGUGAUGCUCAAAGUUUGAGGAGUAAAGUGAGAUGGAUUUAAGGUUUCCAAAUGUGAAGUUUAAGAACUAAAGUAGAAUGAAUUUCAUAUUUUAUGGGGUAAAUUAUCCAAAAAUGAAAUUUAAGGACUAAAAGUGGAAGUGCAUCCCUAGUGUAAGGCUCCAAAGUGGAAUUUAGCCACUAAUCUUUCUACUAAUUGCUACCAAAAUUGGGAUGAGUUAAUGCAGUCCAAGCUCUUGACCAAUUAAGCAACACUGAUACAUUGAGCAUCAGUUUAGUUCGACCCCAAGUAUUGACAAGUAAAAUUGCAUUUGUUUUUCCUUUUCCAAAAGUCUUAACUUGAUUUUAAUACUGGUGUGCCAAGACUCUACUAGCUGCUGGAUCAGAGACUUCAUCUUCAACAAUAGAGUGGACUAUGUCUCUUCUGCUCAACCAUCCUAAAGAGCUGGAAAGGGCUAGAGCUGAGCUAGAUAAAAACAUUGGUCAAAAUCGUUUGGUGGAAGAAGAAGAUCUGCCUAAGCUGCCUUAUCUCCAAAGCAUCAUCUAUGAAUCUCAAAGAUUAAUUCCAGCCACUCCGAUUCUUGUUCCACGUGCAUCAUCAAGUGAUUGCACCAUUGGAAACUACACCAUACCCUCUAAAACUAUGUUGAUUGUAAAUGCUUGGGCUAUUCAUAGGGAUCCUCAGCUGUGGGAUGACCCUGAGAGUUUCAAGCCAGAAAGGUUCUUAGGCUUGGAAAAUGAUGCAUACAAGCAUAAGUUCAUACCAUUUGGUCUUGGUAGGAGGAAAUGUCCUGGCGCUGGCCUCGCCAAUCGAGUGGUGGGAUUGACUCUGGGAUCAUUAAUUCAGUGCUUUGAAUGGGAGAGGAUCAGCAAUGAGUUGGUAGACUUGUCUGAAGGUACAGGUAUUACAACGCCUAAAGCCUCGCCGUUGGAGGCAAUUUGCAAGCCUCGUGAAUCCAUGGUCAAAUUUCUUGCUGGGAUUUGAUGGCAUUUGCUCAAAUAGAAAUAAGUGGCCGUACGUCUAUUUUGACUUUUUAACUUGCGACACUAUUUUAGUAGUAGUAGAUAAUAUGUAUGUUAGUGCAUGACCAAAGAAUAAAGAUUGGUCCCAAAAAAAAAAAAAAAGAAGCAGAUGGAUCGAUAUAGAAUAUGAAAGAAAUAAAAAGAUUGUGUUAUAUGGAAAUGGAUUAGUUCCACUUUGUACUCUUCAACUAUACUUGCAUUUUUCUUUUGGUCCUUUAAUUUUAAAAAAGGACACUAUAGUCCCCAAAAUAUAAAAUUUGUCCUACUUAUUUAAAAUCGUUGAUGGAAGUGGGGCAAAUUUUAUAAUUUAUUGACUUAAGUGAGAUAUAUUUAUUCUCUAAGAACUAAAGUAAGACAAAUUUCAUAAUUUAGGAAUGAAAGUGAGAUGGGUUGUAUACUUCAGGGACUAAAGUAUCCCAAAUUAAAGUUCAAAGACCAAAAUAAAGAUUCGAGUAUAGUUAAAGAGUGCAUAGUGCAAUUAAUCCUAUAGAAGUUGUGCGCAACGGAUCUUCUGUACCACACCCUGUCUCACGUCCUGUUCCACUCCUUAUAAUCUUGCCAAGUGUCCCUUAAUAAACCAAACCCUCAAACAACUCAACUCGAACCAUGUUAAAUUGAUUAAUCGAUUAACCGGACAGAAAACUUAAUCUCUUUAACCAAAACCAAGUAAAAUAAAAACUCUUUAACCAAAAUCACAAUUUAUCAAAUUAAAAAACCCUAAAACCCAAUCAACCUCUGUCCUCUCUUCAUCAUCUUCACCAUUCAAGCAGACAACUUGAUGAUCCGUUGCGCAAUUUAACAUGCAUCACUGACGCCCACAAACAUUUCCGCACUAGACUAUCUUUCCACCCCAUUCACACACACAAAUUUUGCAGACUAAAAUCUAGCAGGAAAAUUCAAGAUUUCUGAGAGGAACCCAAGUUUUAUUUUCCUUUUUCCUUGCUGGGUUUCUUCGAGGAACUUCCUUUCCAUACCGAAAAGGGUUUGCAGGAAGAUGCAUUGCCAUUGCACAUGGGAAACAUUGUUUUAAACGAAGAUGAGAUAAAGCCUGAAGAUCACGGCGUGCUCAUUAGACAAAGGCACAUCAGGUAUAUGAACAAAAACACGAAUACUUCGUCAAAUUGUAGACUUGAAAACAAGAAUGCAGCAGCUAGCUUAUUAAAUAUCCACUAUGAAAAUAAUAAUUUUGUUAAUUGGUAAACCAAAUUUAGAUUAAGUUAUCAAUAUUGGCUCUGACUCGUGGGUGAUGAAGGAAAAGUAAAGCUAUAUGAGUGGGGACGGGGGAUAUAAAAACAUGAGCAAUGUAAACUGGAACAUGAUGAUCUUCAAGCUUGUUAAAAACAUUUCUUUUUUCCUUCCAAAAGUAACUUGCCAUAACUUCUAACCUUGUGAAGUAAUUCAUUCUAAACUUUUAUUUGAAUAUUUUAUUCUUUAGAUGACAAAACUACAUUGAAGAUAUAUUUUGUCAAUGAUAUUUUUAAUUUGUGGUUGUCUCUCUUUAAUUAUAUCAGGAAUUUGGAAUUCCAAUAGAAGACAUCUGCAAUAGGCAAACUAUUAAGAACAUGACACAAUUAUUACAAGUAAGUGAAUAGUAUGCUUUUUGUAGAUAUUAUGUCAACCAUUAGUUGCAUGUUGUUUCUUAUUUAUCUUAAUUUUUUCCAAGUAUUAUAGUUUUGCAAGUUUAUAGCUGUUUGUUUGUAUGUGUGGUCUUUUAUUUCUUAUUUUUCCGGCAGACGUUGGACCCUAACUUCUACCAAGGCUAUGAUUUGAUGUCUUCAAGUUCAAUAGCACAACAACAUGCAUCAAUAAGUUUUGUCCAAGUAAGAAAAAAUCUUGAUUAAUUAUUUAAUCUUAUAUAUAUUAGUUUGAUAAUUUACAAUUAUAAUUCAAUAUAUUUGCUGACUUAGCAUUUGUUUUUGUAGGCACAAGAACUUCAAAAUAAUGAUGAUACUGAUCAACAAGUUGCUAAAGAUGAAAUUGAAAAGGGGAAAAUUGAAUAAAGAUGCUUAUGAAGAAAUGGAGGACGAGACUAUGGGAUUGCGUUCAUAGAUUAGUUAGGCCUUUCAAUGGAAUAAUACUUUGUGCUUAUACUUCAAUUGAUUUUGAUAUUUUUGUUUAAGUUUGUGUUAAUAAACGUUCUUUUGACUAAAUUGUAGAAGAGGAGAUAUACUAGUUGAUGCAACAAGUCAAGAGAUUGCGUUUCUAUUUGUUAAUGGAUUUGAAUAGCAUAAAGUUUCUGUUGUGAUGCUUAUACAUUCAGCACCAGAUAUAUCUGAUACUUGUUGGUAUAGAAGAUUGAAAAAUGCUCAAGACCAAGGAAAAGUAAAUCUCGGGUAUGAAGUGCUCUGGAUUCUUGAUGCAUACAAGAAAGCGUUUUUGAUGGUGUUUUCUUCUGGUUCUCUUUCUGUCAACUCAUGAAACAGAUGAUCAUUUACAUUGCUCAUUAUACCAAUUCAAAUUGAGAAGUGUGCUAAAGCUUGAUCCGCUAGACCGUUGUUUACCAAUGUGUUUACUUGCACAUUUUUCAUGUUUUCGGGUACAUCAGUGCUCUAAAAUCGACAGGUGGGAAGAUGAUAAUGCAAAAGAAUACCAUAUGAACUUAUCAUUUUAGAUUUAAGAUGUAUACAGUUGGUAAAUGAGUAAAACCACUAAUCAGCAAAUCAGUUAAUAAAAGACUCAAAGAAUGUAAAAAUCAAAUUUCUGUUGUGCAGCCUUUGUUCCGUGGUAGAGAAUCUGUUUAUUGCAUCUGAGCUUCCAUUUGAUUCUUUGGAGAAUUAGUAUUUCGUGGCCAUGCGAAGCAAUUGACAUGAGGAACACUGCACAAGGAUUGUCCUCCGUCUCUGAUUCUUUUCCAAUUCCACUCUGAUCUAGUUGGCCUUUGAUAGACAGAGAUAGAACUUUGACAUCUGGAGAUGUAAACAUAUGCAAAUGACUUGAACCAGCUCCAUCAUCUCAUCACAGCAGGGAAUAAGAGUGCCGAAGUACUGUGACUACGGUUGCUGUAUUUGAUUUGUGCCAAAGUAAGAGAGCCUUUAGACUUUUUCCCAUAAUGUUUGAAAGAAACUAUUGAAAUUCAAAAGAAGAUAUCAAAAGGUAGCCUCCCUUGCUGCUGAUGCUGUACCAUGUAUAUCAGUAUAUGUCCACAAAUCAGGCCCUGUACACCUUUGCACCCUUCUCUUUAGCACAUUCAGCCAUCCAACUCACAGACUGGCUGUCAUGGUCAGACAUAGUCAACAUUCAGCCAUCCAACUCAAGAACCUUUUCCUCUCCUGCUCUUCUUGUCCAUCAUCAAGGUUGCACGAGAAUGAUAUAGGCUUCCAUAGUGAAAGAUGCAUUAACACGAAUCUUUCUACAAAACCAAACAUUUUUCUACAAGAAGAAAGAGCUAAGAAGAAACCCAGCAAGGAAACUGCAACAUUCCGAGAGAAACUACUCGUUCGAGGCUUAUUUGCAGCCAUCAGAAACUACUCGUUCGAGGCUUAUUCCGAGAGAAACUACUAGUUGUGGAUAACUGAUUGAGCCGUAUAACCUACGCUCAGAAACUACAGGUUCAGCUUCUCGGAGGCAUUUUGUCAAGCUGCUGGUGUACAAAAUGAUCAAGCUAGCUAUAACUUCACUAGGAUUAUAUGUGCACUCAGUUCAAGCCUCAGUACCUUUCUGCCGGAGAAGCCUGAUGAUAUUACUUCUUUCUGGCUUUCAAAUCGUGGUUCUUGAAUACUUGAAACCCCCAAAGUUGGCAAAACAGAGAAAAGGAGGCAAAGAGGGUUCCUUGAAGAAACCCAGCAAGGAAAAAGGAAACUAAAACUUGGGUUCCUCUCAGAAAUCUUGAAUUUUCCUGCUAGAUUUUAGUCUGCAAAAUUUGUGUGUGUGAAUGGGGUAGAAAGAUAGUCUAGUGCGGGAAUGUUGGUUGGCAUUAGUGAUGCAUGUUAAAUUGCACAACGGAUCAUCAAGUUGUCUGCUUGAAUGGUGAAGAUGAUGAAGAGAGGACAGAGGUUGUUUGGAUUUUAGGGUUUUUUAAUUUGAUAAAUUAUGAUUUUGGUUAAAAGAGUUUUUAUUUUACUUGGUUUUGGUUAAAGAGAUUAAUUUUUCUGUUCGGUUAAUCGAUUAAUAAUUUAAUAUGGUUCGAGUUGGAUUAUUUGAGAAUUUGGUUUAUUAAGGGACACUUGGCAAGAUUAUAAGGAAUGGGACAGGAUGUGAGACAGGGUGUGGUACAGAAGAUCCGUUGCAGAAAUCGCAAUCGUGAGUGCAUGUAUAGCUAAAAAGUGAGACGAAUAAAUUCAAUAAAAAUUUCUAAAAUUAAGAGCUUUUUAUUAUCCAAUUAAUAUAAAUCUACUUACAAGCUCACCAUCUGACUAGGAAUAAUAGACCCAACCGGGAUUUCCAUUGUGGAUAUCAAGGGUUAUCACAAUCAGGAUGAGUUAAUGCAAGCCAGCCACUUGAGUGGACUCCCUAAGUUUAGCACUUCUUUGAACUAAUAUCAAAUCCCAAUUCUCAUUGUAAACUUGACACCUUAAAAUUCUCACAAUUAAUGGCCAGUUAAUCAUGAUUAGAAAAACAAAAGUGCUAAAUAAUUUGUUAAAAAAUAUAGCUCAAAUAAUCAUGAAAAUAUCGCAUGACAAUCAUAGAAGUUCAUCCAGACCUAGGUAUAAAAACUAGUAAAACAUAAAAAAUAUGAAAACAAGAUCUAAAUUUGUAUUAUAACCAAACAUUAGAAUCAAUACAAGAAAUAAGAUAAUAAGAGAAAUGUCACCCUUAUCACAUGAGUUCUAAGCUCUCCAUCUUCAUUCUCAACUUCAUCUAUAUUUAGUUACAUAUAAGUCUUGGAUGAAAUAAACUAUACUAAUGUACCCCAACUAAUGAACUAAGAAAAUUUUAGUGAAAGAAUAUUUUUGUAUAGUUUAUCUAGAUUCCAAAGUUCUACAAUAGGCUCAAAAAUGGCCCUAUUUAUAGAGAAUUGAAGUUUCAAGUGAGUUUUUAAAGUUGAUGUAAAAUGCUUCGUGGGAUUCCCAAAAUAUUCUUCUACUAGUCUCCACGGUCUUCUUUAUAGCUACAAUCAAAAUUCUUACUGGAAUUGAGCUGUAAAAAGUUAUUAAAAUAUGUGGCUGUGCAAGUUGCACAACUACCUUAAGAAUACAUAGGGUCAAUAUGCAGGUGUAAUGUCGCAUAUUGCACCCGUGGAUUGCCUCCUCUACAGGUUUGCAUUUUUCUUAUCAAUUUUCAACUUUGUUCUGUUUUUGCACCAAUUUCAAUUGAUAUUUUAUUGAUGAUGAAGGCUGAAAUAGAUCUUGUAUAAAACAUAAAAGUUGCAUCCUUUGAGUUAGCUUUUCAAUUUAUCAAGAAUCAUCUAAUUUGGAGCUCUGUAGAUUGAGAAAUAACCAAAAUAUCCUUAAUUGGUCAAUCCUCUAUUUUAAUAUUUUGACAGCAAAAAUGGUUGACUCUAUUUUAACUUUUUGACUAGAAAAAUUCAUGAACUAGAUUUUGAUGUCUCCAUAAACAAAUAUGGAUGUCGUAGCUUCAAAGUGGCUUAAGAAUCAUUUAAAUCCAAUGCUUUUAACUCAAGUUAUAGCCAAAAUAUUGGAGGGUGUGAAAGCUGUCAAAUUUUACUUCUUUAUAACUUGAUUGCAUUUCAUCUUUUGAACAUUUUGCAUUUCAUAUUCUCCUUAAAUCACUUUAAAUCAUCAAUAAUCAACCAAAUACAUUCUCAACUCACUCCAUAUAAUGAUUGAAUCAUUAAACCCUACAAAAACAUGAAUUUUUUCACUAUUUAAAUCCAUAAAAAUCCAAUUUUUCUCGUUGAAACCAUAAAAUGUAUACUUCACUAGAAACUUAUUUAAUUAGUUAUAUAGAUGACUAUAAUAAACCAAAACUAAAUAAUAAAAAAACACUUAAAACACACAAAAUAUACACUUAUUAGUCCUCUCUAAAAAAAAUCUUCAAAGGAUUGCCACAUUAGAAAUCUUCUCAGGAACUCAUCUGAAUAUGUUUUUAGACAAUCAACAAGAAGAAAUCGAGUCUCCAGUGAAAAAUCUGUAUAGAAAGUCAACCCAAAAUUUUGCAAGAGUUGAGAUAAAAUCCCAGAUAAUGCAACUGACAAUUAACAAUAUAAUGACAAUGUUUUGGGAAAAUGAUACUAUAGAACUGAAAUGGAAGAUAAUAAGGAGUCCUUUCUAUUUCGUGAUAUUGUUAGGGAAAUGUUUGAGUUGCUUCAUUUCAAUCCAGUGGAUUUCUUGCCAAUUCUUAGGUGGAUUGGUUUUGCGAAUGUGGAAAGAAAAAUGCUAGAAUUUCAGAAAAAAAUCUGAUGAGUUCUUGCAACAUUUGCUAGAUGCUCAACGAUCUUGUCCAAGAACUGCAGGUGGAAGGAGGACAAUCAUUGAAGUAUUGCUGUCUGUGCAAGAAUUGGAACCUGAAUACUACUAAGAUCAAAUAAUCAAAAGCUUUAUACAUGUAUGUGGUAAAUAUUGAUAAUUGAUCUUAAUAUAACCCAAUGCAGGUUUUAAAAAACUGAAAGAUUUACCUACAAAUUGUGAAAUGACCACCAAAUGAUCAUAAUAUAUUUAGGAUAAUAUACAUGGUCUUUUCUAGCAUUUAACAAUCCUUUUGAGCUGCCAUAUACUACCCUUAUUCUCUUCUACAUUGCACUUUUUAAAAGUUUAUUUGAGUUUUCAAUUUGACAGUAUAAAUUUUUUAAUUUUAAAAGUACACUGCUUAAAGUUUAUAAAUGUGUCUGAAUCUACCUCAAUCAUAAUUAUUUGUAUUAUGAGUUGGAAUAAAUUUACAAAAUUUCUUGCAUGUUUAACAUGGGUGGUAGUGGUGGUGGUUCAUUUUAAGGAUCUCUACUGAUUCGAGUUGUAUCACUAAUGAUUCGAUCGGCCAAAUUUUGAGAACCAUUUGACAUUUCAAAGUACCAAGUGUAAGUGAUUGAAACUUUAUUAGUAGUGCAGAGUGGAAUAAACAUGAAAACAAGAAAACAAAAAAAAUGAUCAAAAGAAGUAUGUACGUGACCCAUUAUCUUCAGUCAAAAUGAAAUAAAUGAAAAGGCAAUACCUUUUGUUGAAAAUUCAACUUUUGAUUUGAUGUUUUUUGAAUAUUUUAAGAAUUGAAAUGCAUCAGAUAUCUUAUAUGUUUUGUAGACACAUAGCUAUAAUGGAAAAACAGAAUACAAUUUGCAAAUCUGGUUAAAUAAAAUUGAGGACGUUAUUACUAGUCUUAAAUGCAAUGGAGUUUAGCAAGUCUUAAUUUUCCUAAUAGGAUUGGCUAAGAAAAUUUAGAGUAGUCUCAAUUGUUACCAACCUAAAGGCUAAGAUCCUUAAAGCAAUAUGUAACUGCUGCAAAUGUCAAACUACCAAUUCAGUAACUGUUGCAAAAAAUAGCUGCCAAAAAUUUAUUGGUUUUCCAGUAAUACAGAGCAAUAUGUAACAAAUUAAAUUAAUAGUUUAAGAAGUAAACUGCAAAUAGGUCAUAGUUCCAGCUUUGUAGUUGGCAAUUAACUCUUUUCAACUACCUGUCUAACAUGAUGUUAACAUUGAUGUGGUGAGACGCUAAUGGCUGCGGGAUCAGAUAUGUACUUUAUCCAUCACAGCAGAGUGGGCUAUGUCUCUUCUGCUAAACCAUCCUCAAGACUCAAGAGCGGAAAAGGGCUAGAGCUGAGCUAGAUAGAACAAUUGGUCAAAACUGUUUAAUGGAAGAACAAGAUCUUCCUAAUCUGCCUUAUCUCUGAAGCUUCAUUUCUGAGUCACAAAGGUUAUAUCCAGCUGCUCCACUUCUCAUUCCAUGCGAAUCAUCAAGUGAUAGCACCAUUGGGAACUACAAUAUGCCCUCUAAAACUUUGUUGAUGGUAAAUGCUUGGGCUAUGCAUAGGGAUCCUUAGCUGUGGGAUGAUCCUGAAAGUUUCAAGCUCGAAAGGUUCUUAGGCCUUGAAAAUGAUGCAUCCAAGUACCAGUUCAUACCAUUUGGUUUUGGUGGGAGGAUUUGUCCUGGUGCUGGCCUCGCCAAUCGGAUGGUAGGAUUGGCUGUGGGAUCGUUGGUUCAGUGCUUUGAUUGGGAGAGGAUUGGCAAUGAGUUGGUAGGCUUAUCUGAAGCUGCAGGAAUCACAGUGCCUAAGGCCUUGCCAUUAAUUAGAGACAAUUUGCAAGCCUUGUGAAUCCAUGGUUAAAGUUCUUGCUGAACUGUAUGAUGGGAUUUCCGAUUUGCUGUGAGUUGAUUUAUAGUGGACUAAAAUUGAUGAUUGCGUGUAUAACUGAAGAUUGAAAAUAAACGACAAUAGGUACAUACCAUAGUGCAAUAAUUCAUAAAAAAUAGUGUAUUAUUUCGUUGUAUUAAUGUUAAAUGCACAAGAAGUACCAAAGAUUUAACAACUAUUGUUCAGUUUAGUCGGAUUUGUCUAGCCAUCUAAUUAAGUUGAGUUGGUAAGGACAUUUAGUCUUCAAAAUGAAGUACCCAAAUUGUUAGUUGAAAAAAUAAAUUAAAAAGAAAAAAAGAAGAAGACCCAAUUACUCAUUUGUCAAACUAAAACUCUAAGAGAACAUUAUUAAGUUAUUUCAUCUUCUUGGAUUGGAAGACCAUAAGAAGUACAUGUACAGGGACAUAUCUGACUCAGUAUAAUGAUAUAAUCAACUGAGACUGAAAAUCGAUCAGAACACUGUCUUAGAAUUCAACUUGCCAUUAAUAUUCUUUUUUUUUGGAGCAACUUGCCAUUAAUAUUCAGGCUCAUAACUUCAUUGGAACCACCAACAAAAAUGUUUCCUAUGAAAACAGGAGGAACACUAGGAUUACAUCCUGAUGUUAGCAAUGCAUUCUCAAUCUCUCUUCCUUUGGAAUGAUGAACAAGCUCAUUAACUGUAGGAUUCGCCCCAAAGCUGCACAUCAACAGCCUGAGAGCAUUGGAAAUGCAGCAGUUGCUCUUGAUGAAUAUCGCCACUGGCUUUUCUGACCCCCAAUCUACUUAAGAACUAAGAACAUGUGAAUAACUACUCGAGUUGAGAGGAAGCUUAAGGACUUGUUUUGAGAAAAAUCUUGAAUUGCAUAAAGGUAUAUAUAGAGGGCUAAGGAUGAUAGAUCGCAACAGUUUUCUUCAAGUAGGAAAGUAGGAAUCUCUAAGAUUUUGCUCCUAAAGGUGAUGCUUGGAUAAUAUCAGCAGCUAUACAAAUAGAAUAAAGGUUGGAUCUUUCUUAGACAACAUGAAAUCUUAAGAUGUAUUAGCAUGCUGAUAACAUUGACAACAGAGAAUAGUAGUGGAGUACUUUAAAAGUCGUUUUCUUUUACUAGAAAGGUUCUAGGGCUAGGGAGGUGUACUAUGGUUUAUGAAUAUCAGUUUGAUUUGUUGAUAUCAAAGAAAUUCUUAGUGUAUGAUGCAUUGAAGUUUCUAAAGUGGAAUGCCCCAACACAAUAAGACCUUUUCGGAAUGACUAAUAAGACCCUUUUUUUAUUAUUCAAUCAAAUUAGUAAUAAGAUCUUAUAGUCCAAAAUUAUUAGGGAAAUGCAUACCUUGAUAUUCACAGCUGUCACUACAACAAAAAUGGCCUUUAGCGGCAUUUAAAAGUGUCAGUAUAGAUAAUCUAACCUGACACUUUAUCUAUCUUCACACUUAGGACGAGUGUUGUCCCUUCCAAUGUAGGAAUAGCCUCAAAUCUUUAGCAGCAUUCAUAUGUGUCAGAAAAAUCAUGCUGCUAUAGCAUUCCCUCUGCCAACAAAAACUUUUUUUUGUGAUAAUCGAAAGUGUCCGUAUAGCAUUAGAACAUCAGUAGCGGAUCAGUAGGAUAUCCAAUUUAUGAAGGCAUCUUGAGUUGUCUUAAUAUAUGGCUUUAAGGACACGUAACCAUGUGAAUUUACACUGCUUUGGACGACAUGCCCAUUUGUCAUUAGUGUUUUUCGAAGCUAAGCUAUGCUGACACUUUUAAUUGUCAGGAGUUUUUUUCCUGUUUUUUUUUUAUGGAAGCAACCUGCAAUUAGUCCUCCCUGCUGUACAUUCCAUCAACCAGAAUCCCAAGGGACUUGUAAAAUUAUCCCAAAGAGUAGAAUACAUAUAGCAAUUUAAAAGAAGAAGUCGAUACUUAAAUAUAAUUCGUUAAAUUAAAAGUCGAUAACAAGUACAAACAUAGCAAGUACUAAAAUCGCAAACAAGUGCUAAAAGCAAUUACUAAAAUCCCAAACUAGUACCGAAAGAUUCUCAUUUAUAAUAACUUGAAAGACUUUCUUGUGCACAAACUAAAAAACUCUCAUCCCUAACAAGUUGAAAGAAGUAGAAGUAGUUUCCAAACUUUUCAUUUUGUUGAGAGUCCUCAAUCAUAACCAUGAAGUCCCCAUCAUUCUUCAGUUGGUUCCACCUGUGCACAAAGACCAAGGGGAUCAUUAGAACAUUAUACCUAGAACUAAAAUUUCAAAAAAUCCGCAAUAUUUAUCAAGCAUAUCUCACCAAAUGACAAGGCCAAGCAACUGGGGCACCAAGUGCAUCUUGAAUUGUUUGUUGCAAAUCAUACGGUCUAAUCAAUUGUUCACGUGGACUCAUUGCAACUUGUAUCUGUAUUUCACACUAGUUUGGCCCAAGAGCUUGUCCCUCAACCUCAUCCAAUGGAUUUAGACUCCGUAAAUAUUCUUUUGCCACGAUUUCUGUUGGGUCAAACAAAUUUUUUAGUGAAACCAUAUUUCCUAUCUAGUAAAGAUCCAACAAAUACAAGAAUCAAACUCAUGCCAAAUUCCAGAUUACAAAUGUAAAAGUUUAAAAGUUGUAAAUACUUACUCAAAUAGGUCGCGUGGCUCACGAUGGAGUAUGGCUUGACACAUUGUUAGAUGAUGAUGAAGGAUGUCUCGGGCUGUCAAUUGGAGAGCCCUUUCUAUAUUGAACUAAAACCAUUUUCUUUAAACUGGCUAUUUCAUCAUCUUGUCGCUGAAGCCUUUCCUCCAAACGGACCAAUGUUGACUGUUGUUGAACACUUAUACGGUAACAUGUGUUACGACUAGGAAUGUCUUCCUAUAAGUCCGUUGGAUUCACACUGUCACUAAACAAGCGAACAUGACCAUGUUUGUCUUCCCCAACCACCUGGGCAAAUAUAUCAUUGCGACCAACUGGAUCUUGCGAAUCCGAUAGAAGCUGAUUUUUCAACUUAUUCAUUUUUUCCUACAUAAUAAAGGAAAACACUUGUUAUUGCAAAAGCCUGUCUGAAAACAAUGGUAGAAUUUAUAGGCUUGUGUUCUCGGAUCCUUACCAAAUUCUCAGCAACUAUAGUACUUGAUGGAGUUCCAUCGGCAUGGGUUUAAAACUUAUUGAACAUUUCUACUCUAGUAGGAGGUCUUCCCAAUUGUUUGGCCUAUAAGAAAUUGAAUUUUUUUUAAUUAUAAUUUUACCAUUUAGCAUAUAAUUAAAAAACAAGCUAAUAUAAUGAAAUAUGGGUGAAAAAAAAUUAGCAACUAAAAAAAGGAUAAGGUAUCAACAAGUGGUUCCGAAGAUGAGCAAAUGACUUUUUUCCGGUUGUGUGGUUCAUCUUCUUCUCUUCUCUAGCUUUCUCGUUCCUCUCACUUAGUUUUUAAAUUUCAAAAUCAAAAGCAAGAUUACAGCAUUGAAUAAACACUAGUUUAUGAAGAAUGUUGUAACUGAUUUGUACCUUUGCUUCUUCACUUUUUCAAUAAAUCCAAAGUUUGAUCCAUUGCUCUUCUCGUACCCUUAUGUCCUUUUGAAACCGAGCUUCAGCAUUUGGCAUGGCAGGAUCAAAAUAUGUACCCUUUAAAUCUACCUUCCAGUUUCUCCAUUUUUUGCCAAUAGAUCUUAAGAUCUAAGCUUCCAGUCCCAUAGGCAAAGCAAACCUUUCUUGAAACGUAGUUAGGAACAAGAAAAUCAACAUAACUUCACAGUAAUUUUUGUAGAAAACAUACAUAAUACAAAAACUACCAUUACCUUUAUCACUUCUAACAUGUUUAUUUUAAGUUUUCUUGGCAUCUUAAGCCAACUUUCAACAUCUAUUAGACAAUAAAUACCAUUCCUAGCCAAACUGCCCAAGAAUUCAGAGAAAGAGGUUUUCUCACUUAUUGGGAUCCUAUUGUCAUCGAGUUUAAUUUCAAUCUGUGGAAGAUCCUUAGGCCGACCCCAAAUUUCUUUCAUAAAUGUAGGGCCUCGGGUUUUUUGAUGUACUUCACUUGAAUCAUUUGUAGUUUCUUUUCCUGUAUAAAAUAAGAAAAAGGUGCAAGUUAUGAACCAAAAAAAUGCACUUCUGGAAUUGGUUCAAAACAGUUAGUAAUACCUGUAUCGUCCAAGUUGCAUGACAUGAAGAUGGUGUUAUUGGAAUAUGGAACUCGAGAAUCCUGAUUUGGAUUUUUUUCAGUUGGUUCAUGCCUUAUUCCAAGUGGAGAUUGUUGAAUUGGAGAGUGCUGGCACUGCUCAUGCGACUGUGAACCUCUAUUAGCUUAUUGAGUAACUUAUCACCAGAUUGACGCAUUAUUCCCAAUGUAGAAUUUUGAAUUGGAGAUUAAGGUGCCCGAGCAGCUUCUCCUUCAACUUGUUCAAUUAUAUUUUCAUGGCUUGUUUCAAGUAGAGGCUGCUGCUUUGUUUCAUGACAUGAGGGGGGUUGCUCAAUUGGUUCAUCUCUCAAUCCAUUUGACGGGCCAUACCUGCAUAAUUCACUAUUUAUUUGAUACCAGGUCCAUCAAUCUUGAAGGUGAAAGCCAUCAAUCAAAGUUUCCAGUUCUAGCAUAAACCAAAAUUUGAAACUAUGAGUCAACCGUCGUGUAUGAGUGAACUUGUGACAAACAGGACAAACAUAUUCACUUUUAGUGCUCCACCCAAAUAAUAUUGCAUAUCCAGGGAAAUCACUAAUGGUCCACAAUAAAGUUGCAUGCAAUUGAAAAUUUUUUUUUUGGGAUGCAUCAUAAGUUUGAAUGCCAAAAUUCCACAAUUCGAUCAGUUCUUUAACUAGAGGCUAUAGAUAAAUAUCAAUAUUAUUCCCAGGAGAGGAUGGUCCGGGUAUUAACAAGGACAACAUGAAGUACGGUUGUUUCAUAAACAUCCAUGGAGGUAAGUUAUAUGGUAUUAAAACCACAGGCCAAGUACUGUGUGUAGAACUCAUGUUGUUGAAUGGAUUAAACCCGUCAGAUGCCAACCCUAAUCUAACAUUUCGACAAUCCUUAGCAAAUUCUGGAUGUAGAUGGUCAAAAGUUUGCCAAGCUGGAGAAUCAGCUGGAUAUCUCAUACAACCAUCUUUUGUACUUUUUCCUCAUGCCAUCUUAUUUGAGAUGCAAUUUUAGAAGACAUAAAUAGUCUUUGUAAUCUAGGUUUUAAGGGAAAAUGCCACAACACUUUUUGAGAAAUUUUUCUUUUUUCCCUAGUUGGAUCAUUUUUUGAAGCAACCCACCUAAGCUCGUUACAUGUUUCGCAUGAAGUUCUUUUUUCAGCACUACCCCACUAAAGAGAACAAUCAUUAGGACAUGCAUCGAUCUUUUCAUAACCCAACCCCAAUGUAUUUAUCAAUUUCUCAGCCUCAUAGUACGAAGAAGGCAAAUUAGUCAUGACCUCCGGAAAUACUUCUCUCAACAGCUCAACAAGCAUAUUAAAAUCUUGCUACUCUUCUUACUAAGGCAUUUUAGGUGAAGCAAACGAAUAAUGAAAGACAACUUCGAGAAAUUUUUGCAACCGUUGUACAAAUCCUAUUGAGAAUCAUCAAUCAAUUUGUAAAAUUUUUCAGCCUCUGAAAUAGGAAUGUCCCCUUCUCUAUUCAAUUCACUUAUUCCAUGUGGUAUCCCAAAUAUAUCAUGGACCAAGUCUUGCAUGUCAUUAGUCCCAUUUGAAACCCCAAUUGACGUAUUUUCAGAAUUAGAUGUGGCUUCAUUGUAGUUUGAAAGUUCUCCAUGUGUUAUCCAAUUAUUAUAACCUUGAUAAAUCCUAUCACUUUCAAAUGAUCAUAUGCUUCCAUUUUAGUCACACAAACACCCAUGCCGCAAUCUUUGCAAGGACACAAAAUCAUUCCGUCACAACUUGAUCUAGAAAAUGCGAAAUUUAGAAACAUUUGAAGUCCUGUCUCAUUCUUUUUACUUGUUCUUGGAAAAUCCAUCCAACUUUUAUCCAUACUUUUAAUAUAAAUAAAUGUCUUCCAAAAAGCUUCCAACACCUAUUUUUUAAACUUAGGUCGUGGCUUACAAGUCCCUAAUUUCAAGUUCAAGAAUUUACAGUUUACUAAAUCAAGCAGCCCAGCAAAUAAAGGAAAUCAAUAAAAUGCAAAAUUUCUCAACGAAGAACCAAAAACAGAAUUUGCAAGCAAGCGAAUAGAAAUUUUAUUUACCUAAUAACAGAACAAAGCCUUGCGUACCAACUCCUGCGCUCGCGUCUUCACAAAAUUCCUAAGUUCAAUCUGAAAUGUCAACGGUUAAACAAACACAUGAACGUGAAGACUAAAGGUAAAAUUCAAGAAUCUUACUAAAUUUCCAUCAAUGUAUACAUACAUCUCUGGUGUGUAGUGAUUAAUUUUAUAAGUCAUCUCUUUAGAAAGGCAUGCAACUGACGGCAUAGGUAAUUGGAAAAAAUGAAUGACAGAAAAGUCCCCUAGUCUAAUCCUGCCUAUGAAGAUCCUUAUGAAUAUGUCAAAAACUUCGACCCAACUGCAUCAAUGCCUUUGUCUUAUUAAUCUAAAAGUCCCCUUUUUUGGACUCAAAAUUUGCACUAUAAUAGACUGAUCAAGUGUAGAAGACACUUAGUACAAGCGUUAUACUAUAAUUUCAAGUAACUCACGUACUGAUUAGACAUACAAUUUAAAACAGAAAAAUGCUGUAAAGAUGCAAAUACUACAUAUAAGUUAACAUAGAAAAAAGCAAUAGUGAUAUAAGUGAUAGCAUUGGGUGAAAUAUGCACUUAGCCGGAGGACCACCUUUGUGGCAAAAGCCAAAAGGCAGCAAAGGUCAUCUCUGUUAUGCAAAUUUUGUGCCUCACAUUGGCGGUCCAUUAUCUGCAUCUUAAUUGUCUUUAGGCUUACAUAGUCACGGUUUCCCAAUUCUAUCGCCAGAAUAAUUUCCUACUAGGCAUAUAUAGCACAUGGUCCUUGUUUCAUUUUUUUAUAUCGAACUUGUUGCUGAGUGUUCAUGAUUACGAUAGGCAAUGCAAUUUGGUUGAAGCUCUCUAUUCACAGUUUUGCUUAACCGUACCCAUCCCCAAACAGAACUAGUUGCUUAAACAAAACUUCAAUUACAACUAGGUUUCAUAGAAAAAAAUGAAAAACAGGGGAGAAUUGACAUUUUAUCGAACAGGUUUUGGGCAACAGAGCUUCAUUGUGUUUACCACUUCGAUUUUGGAAUAACAUAUGCGCGCCUGAAGUAUCUUCUAGUUUUCCCAAUAUACAGCUCCGAUCUUCUAAUUUUACUCCCUACCUGCCCUUCCAGAUGUAUUAGCCGAGCGAUUUAAAGUUGAGGUUAGAAAAGAUGAAAAUGGUUGUUUGCGGAGAUAGCUUGGAUUCCUACCAACAUUCUGGAUUGGCCGAGAUAGAUUGUAUGCGGAAAGGUGAGAGAGUUGAGAAGAAGAAAAUUUUCACCAAGUCCUUUUGCCGGCAAAAUGAAACUUCAAAGUACUUUACCAAGUGUUUUGGAGCCAAAGUAAAACGAUGUCAUUUUCUAUCUUUUUUUUUUAUCUCACAUUUUCUCGAGUAUCAUAAUAGGUAGUCUAAAGGCACAUUAUUAUUUUUAUAUCAUGAUAAAAUAAAAAAAUUAUAAUACAUAUUAUUGAGUUGAUUAAUAAGUGUCAUGAUACGUUUGCUAUAACGACACAAACCAACAAGUGUUCUUAUAGACAUGUUAGGAAAGGCCAUUUUUGUUGUAGUGUGUAUAAAAUUUAUGCAAGUUUAAAUAGAAAUGCUUCCCUUCUCUAUUUUUCUUUCCUUUCAUUUAAUUUAGAGUUAAAAAUAAAAAAGCCCACUGUGCUAAACAUAAUAUACAAAUAAGCGCCCUAUGGUUUCAAAAUAUAUAACGCGACACCUCGUGCUUUGAACUAAAUUGUAACACUGACGGAAAUCGGUAAAAUUAACGGGACUGAUAUACUGGAAGCUAAAAACAAAUUCUUUAUACUUAAUUUUUAGCAAAUAUUCCUAUUGUACCCCUUAGCCCCCAAUAAAACUCCCUCCCAGCGAUGCUUGUGUAUAGAAUCGAUUUCUACUUGAUUGAGAGAAAUUGAACUAGUCUUUGGGAAAAAUCAAAUUACCACGCAGGACGUUUGAAAGGUAAAGCCAUCCUCCAGAUACGAAGUCAACCUGCGAGGAACUACUACACAAUCUUGCCUAAGGUAAAAGCAUUUGAUUUUGGGUUUUGGCUAACAAAUUGUUGUUAUUAGGGUUUAAAGUAAGAAUGUUGGUAAACUAAAUUAGGAUUUAUCUACUGAUGAAGGAAAAUGACUGGCUAAAAAAUUUGCUCAUGUCUUCCUCAAGCUCUUGAGGGGAUAGUGGAGUUAGGAAUCUACGGUACCAAUAUAAGCUGUGCGACUGUCGAAGAAAGGCAAAGGUGAAGAUUGUUGAGUCCGAAAAGCCAUCCAAAGGGAUGCUGUACUUUGUAUGUGAAAGAGAUGAAUGCAGAUUUUUCUCAUGGUGUAAUCCCAUCUAUAGAGAUGAAACCGACAGAGGAAACUUUUUUGAGAGGCCAAUGGUUGAAGAACAUUUGUUGUGCUUGAACUCGAAUUCUGAAGUGAAGAACUUGAAUGAUGAAGUGAAGAACUUGAAAGUAUUGGUUAGCUAUUGUCUAAUGGUAUCUAUUUUUUCACUUUUGCUUCUGUUGAUGAAAAUGUCUGUAAAAUAAGACAAUGAAGAAGCUCAUGAAUAGAAAUGAAGAAAAUCAGGUAGUUUAUUUUGUUCAUAGAAAUGUGCACUUUAUUCUUCUAUUUUUUCGAAAGAUGUCCUACCUAAAACAAUGAAACAAACAUCUAACUAUUAUAUACACUUGUAAUCAUAUUUGUGCAUUAAAAAUAGUUUUGAGCAAUAAGCACACACAAUAACGUCUUCUGAUUCCAGUUUUGAGUAAUAAGUACACCAAAGUACAUUAAAGUUUCCAGUCCAUAAACUAUUCCAAAAAUAUAUCCCACUAUACAUUCCAUUUUUUUAUAACAAUUUCAAAUAGAGUAGACAAAAUAUAUCCCACCAAACAAAAACUACCCAGACAAACAAUACAUGAAAGAUUCCAGCCUAUAAAAACUGUCCAUAAAUAGCUUCUUUUGCAAUCGAGAAAUACCAUUGCAGCCCAUAAUCAUAAUGCUCUAUUAAAACAGUCAAUAAGUUCAUUAAAGUGUCCAACACCUGACAAGAAUCCUCCAAAUUGCUGAAACCAUCAGCAUCCAAUCAAAAUACAUCAAAGUUUCCAGUUUGCAAUAAUUGAUAACAAUUCCAAACAGAGUAGACAAAAUACAUUAGAAACAUACAUUCCAGCUGUUUGCCACCAACUCUAACGGCAAUCACUAAUUCCUUAAAACUACACAAAAAGGCAAUCAACAAACAUACAGUCCACCUCAAAAAUCAACUCUAACAUUUUCUUGCUUUCUUGGACCUUAGGUUGUAUAGAACAUCAGCAACAGUAGGACGAAGGGGUCCUUUUGCUGGUGAAGUUGUUCCACUCACAGGCUGCAAUUGAAGUAGAAAAUAUGAAUGUUUGAAGGAAAAAUGCUCCAUUAAAUCACUUUUGUAUUACAUGAAAUCCAACCUGAGAACAUGAUUGUCUAGCAGGCACAUUUUUUGCCACACUCGCAAUUGUUGGCUGCGUAUACUGCUUCUCGGUCCUGCAGCUUUUUUUUUUUUGAACAGGUGUAUCUUGUUCUUGAUUUAGGACUAGUUGUGGGGGCACCAUUGAUGAAGGAGCUGAUAAAUAAAGUUCUGAACUUGAUUCAACUACAUUAGUGUCAGGUGCCUAUAAAAAACAAGUUCAUAUUAAUAUUCAAUAAAAAUGAUUUGGGACAGUAAUUAGUCUCAGCCUAUGAAAUCUGUAAGCUGUGUUGCCUUAUAGAAUUUAGAGUUGGAAUGAAUGGCAUUCUUGCAGGUCCUUGAAUUGUGUCUUGGCUGAAAAAAUCUCUUGCAAGUUACCACAUGACCCUUCCUGGUUGAGACUUGACCCUUUUUAGGCUCGUCGGCUGCCCUUUGCGGAUCUUUUUGGGUCUGCCAGGCAUUCUUCGAACUGCGGGAGGUUUUGGGAGUUGUUCUUCACAUCUCACCCAGUACUUAUUACUUGGGACAGGUGUGAUAAUGUGCUCAUAUAUUUUCAAGUAAUUUUCUCUACUAUAGCAGGCAUGCACAUAAUCAAGCAAAGGCAAUCUACGUGCUCCUAUUGCAGCACAUGCAUGAGCACAAGGAUAACCUGUAAGUUGGAAAUAGCCACAUGUGCAAGUCUUUUCCUUCAGAUCCACCAUAAUAGAUUUUCUGGGCCCACAGUCAAUUUCAUAAUUGUUCUUACCAUCCCAUGUGGGAAUACACAGCCUACUGAAUUUCAGAUUCCUAUCAAUCUCCUCUGCAAUGUUAGGACAUAUUUUUCCUUGAAAUUUCUGCAUACCAGUCCUCUUCACUUAAAUCCUUUGCAUGAGCCUUCUUCGAAUCCACUCAAGCAUCCCUAUGACAUGUAACUCUCUAGUUUCUAAGAUAUAGUUAUUCAAUGACCCACAAAGAUUGUUCACAAGAAUAUCACAUUUGCUACUUUGUCUAAAAUGUGACCUACUCCAUAAAACACUUGGCUCUUUUUGCAGCCAUUCAGCUGCAUCCUUUGAAGCUUUUUCAAGGGAAUUCAUUGCUAAUUUCCAGUUUACUUCAUUCCCAGCACUUACUGCUGCCCAAAACAAGUCCUUCAACUCUUUUCCUUUGAACUUCUGGUUGAAAUUUUGGUACAUAUGCCUCAAGCAAAACCUGUGUUCAGAAUUUGGAAAUAACUCAUUCACUGCAUGGACCAGUCCUUUUUGUCGAUCUGAGAUGAAUGUCCAGGGUAUGUUUUCCACACCAAAUCCCAGAUUAGCUAUUAGUAGUUUCAGAAACCACUUCCAUGAGUCAUACCUCUCUACCUCUACCACUGUUACAGCUAUUGGAAUCAUAUUGUCAUUGCCAUCUCUACCAAUUGCUGACAACAAUUGAUCACCAAACGCAGAUUUCAAAAAACACCUAUCAAGACCAAUUAUUUGCCAACAGCCAUCGAGGAACCCCUGUUUGCAAGCAUAAAGAUAGUAAUACGGUCUUUAAAAUGUCCCUUGUGAACCUUCUUCUGCUGUAUCAAGUUUAAUCUUGACAGUGCUACCAGGAUUUGUCUCUCUAAUUGUAGCUGCAUAACUCCAAAGGUGGUGAUAUUGCUCCAUAUCCGUGCCAAGCAUCUCAUCUUUUGCCUUUCUCUUUGCUCUGCGUAUCUUGACAACAGACACGUUAAUCAUUAGAUCUCUUCUAAUAUCAUUUUGAAAUCCAUUCACGGCACAUUGCGGGUCACCUCUUAUCUUGUCUUGGUACUUCACGCUCAAAUACUUAGCUGUUGCAUGCUUGUUGUUGUAAUCUCUAGCAUAAACAUGCUGGCCCUUCAAUGAUUUAAUUUGAAAAGUAGUUUUACCUUGGACUGGUGUUGAACGAAUCCUCCAAGAACAGCCCUUUGCACACUUCGCAAUAAUCUUUUUCGAGUAAUUUUUUACCCAAUCAACCUCAUAUCCCCCUCUUACCAACCAUUCGACCAACACAUAUCUAAAAAUUCUGAAAUUGGAAAACUUUUGCCCAACCUUCAACUCAAAAUAUGGCUUGAGAAACUCCAUUUCAGGGUUAAAGUCAUGACAUUCUUCAUGGCCUUCAUCAUCAGAUCCGCACUUGCCCAGCAACUCUUCAUCAGAAAUUACUGGUUCUUGCCAAUCCUCUUCUGGUGUAUGUGGUGCUCCUUCUUCUGUUGAUCUUUCCUCAGCCUUUUUACUGUUCCCCGCUUCAGCUUGUGAUGGGAUCUGAGAUAGGUGUUGGUCAGCAGCUUGAGAUGCAGCUUGAGAUGAAAUCUGAAAUGAGAUAUGAGGUGGAAUUUCUCCAAUGCUAUCUGGCCCUACAGACUGCUUCUUAUUUUUGCUGGACUUUUUUUCCUUACUAGUUUCACUUUUGGCAAGGCUCUUGAUAGCCACCUUCUCAGGGGAAGAGAACACGUGAUAAGGCUUAAAGUGAGUGGAAUGUAGUAUGGACCCACCUUCUGGUUUACUACUUCUGUCCACAUCUUUUUUACUUGCGAAAAUAUCCUCAUCCUCUUUUUUUUCCAACCCUUCCUUCAACCAUUCAGGCUCAUCAUCAUCAUCAGUGUUAUUUGGCAUAUUUGGAUUGCAAUUACUAACCCCAUCUUCUUUUUUUUGUACCCCACCAUCUCCACUGUCUAUUUUGGUGUUAUGUACCCCACCUGCAUUUUUAUUUGUUGUUGAUGCAUCCAUUGUCGAAUUUGGCUUCAACACACUGUCCCUACCAUGUUCUAGUGGCUUUUCAAAAGGAUCAUCCCCACUACAGGCAUAUAUUAUCCUUGUUGCCAAAUCCCAAUGUGUUUUAUUCAUCAAUUUAACAUCAUCAUGGUCCCUAAUUGGAUGUAGGCCACCAUCUAAGUCUACUUCUGGAGCACAAAACCAGAAAGUCACUCUAGUUGCAUCCUCAUCCACUUUUUCAAACAUCCUGCAAAGGCUAACUAUGCAGAUGUUGUCCUCAAGUCUAUUUUUAAAAAUAGCCAUACCGGUUCCUGUGUAGUGGAGGGCAGGAUAUUCUCUAAAUUUUCCAUCAAAAUACAUAUGUAUAUCUACUGUCUCCUCUGACUUGUCUUCUUCUGUUGAAUGUUUCAAGGAAUAUAAUAAAUAUGCUUUAGUCUCCCAACUACUGUGUCUCCAUCAUUGAUAUACAGAAAACCAAAUAAACAUAAAAGCACAAAUAGAAAACCAAUUUUAAUAGCAUUCUGGACCACUAAACCAGAGAAGACAAUAACAAUUAUAGAAAUUUUACUUAUAAUUCUUUGUUAAAUAUCUUGUUGUAAUAACAAGUGACUGAGUUGUACUCAAACACACAAACACACACAAACAGAUCCUACUCAACACCCCUAAUCAACAAAAAUUUCCCAUCACAAAUGGAAAUUUCAAAAAUUAUUUGCGUCACCUAGUCAACACCCAAAUAUCAACAAAAAUCUCAGCUUUAAAUCCAAACUUGCAGUCCCAAAUCAGCAAAAAUCUCCCAUCAGAAAUGGACAUUUCAGAAAUUAUUUGCAUGACUCAUAGUUCCAACACCCAAAAUAAAAAAAAAAAUCUCGGCUUCAAAACCACAGUUGUAGUCCCAAAACAGCAAAAAUCUUCAUUUUAAAUCCAAAGUACAAGUCUCAAAACUCACAAAAUCAGGAAUUUUCUAAGGUAAACACCCAAAUAUUGCAUAUUUGGGUGUAAAUAACAUCAUCAGCCCUCAAAAUCUGAGAUGGGUAACCCUAAAUUGUAAACUAAUUAUAACAUACAUGAAUUGAUUUUAAUUAAUUAUAACAUGAACAAAGUAUAGCAUACAUACCCAUUUGCCUUCGAUUUUCUGGAAUAAAUCUUCGUCUCUUUCGAUCUUUUUACUUGAUUCCGUUUGGUUGGGCUUUACUUCCUCUCUCUCUCUCUCUCUCUCUGUAGGGUUUGAAGGGAAGAAAUGAGUCCGUUCAAUUGCCUUUUGGGUAUUAUACAAGGGCAUUUUGGUCCUUUUAUCAGUUCCCGUUAAUUUUACCGAUUUCCGUCAGUGUUACAACUUAGUUCAAAGCACAAGGUGUCGCGUUGUAUAUUUUGAAAUCAUAGGGGGGGCUUAUUUGUAUAUUAGGUUUAGCACAGGGGACUUUUUUGUUUUUAACCCUUUAAUUUAUUACAAUGGCUAACUCGCACAUUGACUCCUCUCUCCUUACAUUUGUUAGUUAAUUUUGCUUAGCAAUAUUAAAGAUUAGACCCAAAUGAUACGGAUGCAAAAACUUGAGGUGCAAUGUGUCCAAAAUGAAAUUUACGGUGUAAAGUGAGAAUUAGAAACAAUUCUGGGGGUAGAACCUGAAAAUAGUUCUUUUAUUGGUAUCCAGUUACGAUACUUGAACUCUCUGUGCACAUUCUCUACUUGGUUAGUUUAUUGUUUAUGGUGUUAAUGAUUGGACUCAAAUGGAACGGAUUACAAGUUAGAUUGUAAAAUGUCCACAAUUAAAUCACAAGGUGCAAAAUGAAAACUGGAUACAAAUUGGGGGUGUAAGGUAUGAUAAGUGCUUGUUUUACAUAUUUGUGUAUGAUUGUUUAUGUGUAUUUUAGUGUGUUUUCAUUUAAAUUUGAGUCAAAUAAUUUGGUUUUUAGUUAAGCUUUGCAUUUUGUGGUUAAAUAAGAAAAUUUGCAUUUCUAUGGACUUAUGUGCUCAAAUUUCAUGUUUUUUUUUAUAGGUUUUGAUAAUUCAAUCAUCACUUGAAGGGUAGUGAGAAGAUACUUGCAUGAUUUUUGAUGAUUUGAAGUGGAAAUCAUGUGACGUGAAGAACCAAAGGAUGAAAUGCAAGCAAGAAACAAGAAGAAAAGCAUUGGCAGCAAUGAUAUAUUUUGGUACAUUGGCUAUAACUUGAGCUAAAAAGCUUGGAUUGAGAUGUUUCUUAGAGCAUUUUAAAGCUAAGAGGAAGGACUACAAUUCUUUUGAAGGCACCAAAAUCUAGUUCUUAUGUUUUCAUAGUCAAAAGUCCAAAUAACUGAAGCACUUUUCUUCAACAAUCCUUUCUGUCCAGUCAUUAGUAUUUUGGCCAUAACUUAGUCCACAGAUCUCGAAAUGACUUCAUUCUUGAGCCAUUGAAAAACUAUCUCAAAGGGUUACAAUUUUUGUUUUUCAUAAGAGCUAAUUCAACAAAAACAGGGGAGAAAUCCAGCCAAAAAUCCAUGUACGGAUUGUCGGACGGAUUCGAGUCAGAAUAGCAGCAUAACUUGUGCAGUUUGCACAAUAAUUGAGUCUUUCCUUUUCCCUAUAAAAGGGACUCCACUUGGACGAAUUUCGCAGUGAAAAAGGGGGAGAAAAGCACCAUCAAAAUGUAGAUUUAAAAGUAGAAAUCCUUAGUUUUUCUAGUCUAGGUUAGAUUAGUGUAGGAUUAGUUUAGAAUUAGUGGGUUAUUCUUCAAUUCUUGUAUUAGCUCGACAAGGAAGCAAAGAGAGAUGAAGAUGGAGAAGUUGAACUCUAGUGACAAGAGUUUGAUCUCUCUUAACACUUUAACUCUUGUAUUUGAUUCCUUUGUUAGUUUUAAUACAAGAUUGGAUUGUAUUUUCAUUUGCUUUAUGUUUAGGUAAAGUUUCAUGCCUUGGGUUGGAUGAACUUGCUAUGAUUUGUUUGUGAGAUUUGCUUGGAAGGAUGAUGCUAUUGCUUUGAAUUAAUUAUUUAGCACUUUUGUUCUUAUAAUCAUGAUUAACUGGUCAUUAGUUGUGAAUAUUUGAAGAUAUUGAAUUAUCAAUGAUAGUUGCAAUUCAAUAUUAGUUCAAGGAAGUACUAAACUUAGGUAGUACACUCACGAAAGUAGAGGUGCACUUUUGUGGCUUGUUUUAUCGUAAUUUCAUAGAAGUUCAUGAACUUGUAGCUAAUUUCAUAAUCAUGAGAGUAGGUAUAGAUUAGUUAUAAGUAUAAUUGAUUACUACGAGAGUAGGUUUUACAUACAUAAGAAAAUUACGCCAUAACUAACUGAGGUAGUAGUGUUCAAUUACCCAAGUAAUCUUGCUAGCUCAGAGUGGUUAGGAAUUCCAUUCCCUAGGAGCUUUCUGUUGUAGUUUCCACUUCACAUUUUCCUAUAUUUGUAGCUUAGACUUACUUGACUUGCAUUUAUAAGUGUCUAAAUAAUAAAAGAGUUUGAAUAACGUCGGUAAUUGCUCAAUUUUCUCUGUGGGAUCGACCUUUAAUACCUUAUACUCAAACAUGACCUGUAUACUUGUAAUUGUGUGUGGAGUAUUUAGAAAGUUACAAAUUUAAAACUUGAGGCAGAGAUUAUUUUUAUAUACACGUCCCACGCCUAUCAAGGUAUAAGUAGCCUCUUCUCCAAUUUGCACAACUGUAAUUCCUUUGAUUGUUUAAGGAUAAAAUCACGUCUGAUUAUGUUCCACUGUUUCCUUUUUUUCUUUAUGCAGAUUUACUUGCCAAAAGAUCUUAGGCCAUCUCUUGCAAAGGAAUUGCAGUUCUCUUUCUUUCUUUUUCUUUCCUUUCCUUCUUUUUUUUUAUCUGUAAGGAAAAAAGAUAGGAGGAAUUGAAGUUGUUGCUUAUAUGCUUGAUCAAAGUUGAAAUUAAACCGAUCCUCCCCUAGUGGUCAUGGUCUAGAAAUCCAGUACAAAAGUGGUAAGAACGUACAAAGAAGGAUUGUAGCAGAUUCUCCAUUUCUAAGGAACAUUUUUCUCUAACACAGAAAUGAUGCCUUUCUAGACUUUCUCCCCAUAUUAAACAGAUCGAAUCACAAUACAGAAGAUCCAACCCUAUUAUCCUUUCCAUAGAUAUUUAAUGGAUCCAUGGUUGGUUUCUAUGCUUUUUCUUAUUUAAAACUUUUAAAUUGAUUUAGAGGCUAACCACAUGACAUAAUAUGAGUAACAAGUGCAAGUUUGGGGCUCCUACCUUGGGUUUAUUUUCUUAUACAAAUUGAAAAUAAUUGGAAGCAGUAAGGACAUGCUUAAUUUGCAAAGACCGGGCCGCUUUUUAAAUUAAGCCAAUAAAGGAAGUUUUUAUUGUAAGGACAUGCUCCUAUGCAUAAUUAUUAACCACGGCCUGAUACUGGCAUUGAACUAAUGAAUUCGGUGAACUGGUGACUUAGCAGGAUUGAGUUAGUAGUUGGAUUGAAUAAGGAAGAAAUUAGUUGACUGGAUCAAUGACUUAUCGGUUCAACUAGUAAAUUCAAAAACUUGUGAGUUCAACCAUUGAUUCGAUAAUUAUAUAGUUUCUUUAAAAGUUUUAAUAUGCAAUUUUUUUAUACUAAUAAUCAUGGUUCAAUCUACGGUUGAGUCCAGCGAGACCAUGCUAGUAGGUGAACCGGAUAAAGUAGAAACCAGUUGACUAAUUAAUGACUCGUUGGUUCAAUUAGUAAAUUCAGAAAAUCACUAGUUUAACUAUUGAUUCAAUAAUUAUAUUAUUACUAGUAUUUUUUUUAAUGCUAUAUAUGCACGGUUCAAUCACUCACCCAUGAUUGAAUCAAUAAUCUGUUGAAUCGAUACUCUGUGGGGUCGGUUUUCGGACUAGAUUUAAUAACUAUGCUCCUAGGAGCUAAGCAACUAUUCAGUUUCAUCUUUUGUAACUGAUUUACCAUAUAGUUUGAAUAAUUAAUUUGAAGAAACAUGAACGAAAAUGAGUCGAGCACAAUUGUUGCAUUUGAAGCUCACAUCUAUGGGAAUAUAUCCUGCAUUCAAGUUUAAGUAACCCAAUCAACAGUUGUAUUAAAAAGAGUCUUAUUUAUCAAAGUAUACGAUAAGAUAAUCGCCUAAAGUUUUUUCUCCUCCUUGCACCGGAAAACUGUAAAUGCACUUACACACUGACAUAUCUGACUCUAACUCGAUAUUAUUACACAGCUAAAAGAGACUCAAAAUUGAUAAAAACGUUGUCUUAGUGCAACUGCUGUAUCUUCAUGACAAAACCCUUCUGACCUAAAGAUUGCAAAAGGGGAGGAAAAAGGGAACAGAAUCAGAAAAGAGACCGAGGCUGAAAUAUGCAGAUGGUGCCUUAAGUACAAUCACAUCCAUUUAGCGUUGGCUUCGAUAAGCAACGGUUUCAACUUGCCUCGAAUGUUGAGGCUCAGAACCUCAGUGGAACCGCCAACAAACAGCUUCCCUAUGAAAACAGCAGGAACACUAGGAUUACAUCCUAAUGUUAGCAAUGCAUUCUCAAUAUCCCUUCCUUUCGGGUGAUGAUCAAGCUCAUAAACCGUAGGAUUCGCCCCAAAGCUUCUUAUCAGCAUCUUGAUAGCAUGGGAAAUGCAGCAGUUGCUCUUGCUGAAGAUCACAACUGGCUUUUCUGACCCCAAUCUCCUCACUGUUUCCAUUCUACUUAAAAGUUUUGAAAUCCUAUUUGAUCAGAGGAAAUUUAAGUCUUGGUUUCAGAAAUAUCUGAAUUUCAUAAAGGCAUAUAUAGAGAAAUAAAGAUGAUGGACUGCCAUAGUUUUCUUCUGGAGUAGGAAAAAUACGACAUCCGUAAGAUCAUUUUGCUUCUAAAGUUGAUUCUUGGAUAAUAUCAGCUGCUAUACAAACACAAUAAAGGUUUGAUCUGUCUCAGACAACAAAGAAUCUUAAGUUGCGUCAACAUGCUGACAACAUUGAAAGCCGAAAGUAGUCGUAGAUGAUAAUAGUCUUUUCCUUAAUUUUACUAGAAAGAUUCCAUGGUGUACUAUGGCUUCUAAAUUCAGUUAGAUUAUUCAAUAUGUUUGGUUUAGAACUGGAAUAUAUGUCAUUUUAUUAACAGGUUAAUCAAUUUGAAAGCCAAAUAAUAAAUGGGAGAUGAUAAGAGGACAAUAUGUAACACUUUCAUUUCUAUUGAAUGAUGCCCAUGAUGAUCUAUCAAACAAUCGAUAACAAUAAUUAUUAAUCUUGAUACCCACUCCAGGCCCUAAUAGCCAUUUGCCAAACACCACCCACAUUUGCAAAACUCGGGCCAGAAAAAUAGUUUACAAGACAUUGGACUUCUCCAAGUGAACAGAAUGUAAUUCCUUUGACUGUUCCGGCACAAUAGUUUUGACUGUGUUUUAAGGACAAUAGUGUGUAUGAAUAUGUUCCUAUCUCUCCUUUUUCAAGUAGAUAACUCCCAAAUUUCCAAAUACCUUAGACCCCUUAUCACUAAGAAAAUGAAGUUCUUUCAUCAAAGUUUGUUGUUUAUCAAGGUUGAUUGGCCCCUUAUCACCCCGGUCCUUUUUUUUUUUUGCUUAAUAAACGAAAGGGUUCCUUGCUACCAACCCAAUUUGGAAGCAGCAUAAAAGAUUUAGGCUAAACCACAAUGGUGUUAUGGUUUAGAAAUCCAUUACAAAAGCGAAAAGAAGGUAUAAAGAAUGGUUGUAGCAGAUUCUCCAUUUCUGAGCAAAAUUUACCUCUGACACAAAAUGAUGCCUUUCUAGACUUCUGUACAUGAUAAAUAGAUCGAACAAUAAUAUAUAGAAGAUCCCAUCACAUAUCCUUCCCAUCUCGCACAAUGUUUCUUCAAAAAAUUAUUUAAUGAUUCCAAGGGUCGAGUCUACAAAAAAAAAUUAAAAUGAAAAAGCAUAGAAAUCACAUCAUGCAUUUUCUUUUCAAUUUUUAAAGCACGUUAGAGGGAUAACUAGAUGACAGAUAGCAAAGACAGCGCACCAUUGCCUCGGGUUCUUAUUCUUCUUCUAUUUUUCUCUCUCUCAUUUUUGGUUUUCUUUUUGUGUACACAAUGAAAAUCAAAAGCUGCAUGCUUUGCAAAAAUCGAGCCAUUUUCUUUAGUUAAACCAAUAAGGGAAUUUUCUUUUAUAUUGAGGACAUGCUCCUAUGAGCUAAAUAACUAUUUAUUUUUGCCAUUUUGUAAUAUAUCUCCAAUACAUCUUUAGAUCUUUUUAAAAAAAAUUAAAAGAAUUUAUAGCCAAGCACUUUAUUCUUUUUCACUUCAAGCCAAGUUCAUCUAUAUAACUCUACCAUCUUUUCUUUUCUUCUCCUUUAUUUAGUUCCGUGUCAACAAAUGACAAACAACUCACAACCUCGAGUUGGGGCGUGAGGCAUAUAUUCUGUGAGAAAAAUAACAUUAUAUUGCCGAGGAUGACUUGCACACCUUAUCUUUAACAGUUUUACAUAUGCAAAUCUCGAAAAUUCUCCAAUUCUGAUACUAGAAGAGAAUAAAAUGUAGCUGCCAACCUCCAUAAUCAAAGAAAAAUCCAAUUAAAAUAUUUGGAAUACUUUAGACUGUUAAUAUGCGUGGUAAUCAACGUUGCUAUGAUAUAUGUCAUUUUGAGUUAAUGUUUUUCUUUCAAUUUUAAGAGCUAAUUAACGUCAACAUGUAGUUCAAGAGCGUGAUUUCUUGUUGUAGUACUUAAUCAAUUCUCAAAUAUUUGUGUUUAAUUGGUAAGGAUCGAGAAGGUAUGGGUAUCUUUAAAAAAAAAAAGGGAUAGAACUAUCUUAUUUAAAAACUUGAGGGGCUGAAUUUGUUCGUUGUUUUAUUCGAAAGCCCAAUUAGCACUAAUGUGACAUUGUGCAUUUAGAUACCAUAAAAUAAUAGAAGUGAUAUUUGCACUCCAAAAUUAAUUUCUUGCACUCCUUAGAGGCAUGUUAUUUAGUGAGUGGAUUGGAGUGCAAGAGCCUAAAAUGGACGCAUGGAUAUCAAUUUCCUAAAAUAAAUAAAUUAUUUUUUAUACAUUGACAGUGUAUAAUUAUCAGAAUUGGAUGUUGGAUGUAUGACAACAAAUCUUAAUCUGAAUUUGAAAUUCAAAAUUUUGCAUAUAUCCUGAUAGUGUGUGUGUGUGUGUAUGUGUGUGUGUAUAUAUAUAUAUAUAUAUAUAUAUAUAUAUAUAAUUGUGACAGUAUAUAUCCUAAAAGUGUAUAUAAGAUUAGAGUCUAUCUACAAACAACCGAUCUAAAAUCACAAAAUUGCUAAAUGAUAGACACGAAUAUGAAAAUUCUUAAAAUCAUAAAAGUGGGUCAUCUUUUAGUUUGUUUUUACAACUUAAGUCAUAUGUUGCUUAGUUUAGGAUUGUCCAUAAUAAGAUUAAUUUAAAAUGAAUUUGUCAAUGAGGCCCAAGUGUAUUGAUUGAAAACAACCACGGUAAAGACUUCAUGAACAAAAGGUUUUCUAUUAUGGACUGUAAUUAAUUUUCUACUCAUUCCAUCCCAUUUAAUAGUCUUGAGAUUUUUCUCAUAUAGUUUUAAGAAAAAUUAGCUAAUUUUGUUGGAAAGUAAAUCUGACCUAAUGUUUUUCUAAAUACCUUUAUAUUAAUAUUAAGAGUAUCAGUAAUCACUAUACCUUUACAUUAAAUAUAACAACAAUAAUAAUGGUAUAUUACACCAUUCAAGACAUAUAUCAAGUGGAAAAGUUGACUGUGUUAAAUAAGGUAGAUUAUAUUUACUAAUAAUGAAGUAUAUUAACCAAGGGUAUUUUGGAGAAAUUAAAAAUUAAAUAUAUUCUUGAAUUGAAAGUUAGACUAUAAUUUGAAAUGGAUGAAAAGAAAAAUAAAACUAUCAAAAUAGAACGGAGGGAGUAUAAAUAUGUGUCUUCCUCUAUAUGGGUGGUUAUACGCUUAUUGUUGCUAACUGAAAGAAAAUGAAAUGAAAAGAGAAUUUAAACUUUUCUUUUUCUUUCAUAUGCUAAGAUACAACUUAUAGACUCCAUAAGAUUUUAGUAUGCAGUCCAAGGUUGAGACACAAAAAAGUAGAAGUCUACAAAUAUGAGUUUGAGUCUCACUAAAUGUGAGUUUUAUUAGCAAUAAGCCAUUCAACAUCCCAUUGGUUUUGAGUUAGAAGUUACAAUUGUGGAUUACUUGCGAACAUAUAAAAAACCAUAUGACUUAAUAGACAUGAAAAGCCUCAUUCCCAUAAAAAUCCCAUAACAAUUUGAUUCUCGAGAAAAAGCUAAUCAAGGAAAAGCCAUUCUAGAAUUUUUUUUUUUUUCUUGCAACGAACAAAAGAUGCCCAGUUCAUAUUUGCUGUUCUUGUUUGAGCAGUAGAGGAUCGUUCCAAGUUCGUGCGUCGGCAUGGGAUAGGGUGUUCUUGUGGUUGUCUGACAGACUAACCUCUAUUGUUUUGUUCUUCUAUUUUUUUUUUUAAUUGUGGUUAAAAUUAAUUGAUUUAUCAAUUUUUUCCAAAGUAAACAUUCUUGUUAAUCGAGGCCAGCUUAUGGUAGCACAUGACUCAGACAACUGAGAACCAAACCUCAUUCAGACCAAUUUAAGUGAAAAUUUCAAUUUUUGCUUACCAUUUCGAAGAAAAAUUGCUUUUGCCUGGCAUGUUAAAGAAUAAUCCAAAUUGAAAAGAGUGCUGGCUAAGGCCAGUUGCUUAGUCUUGCGAUCUUCUCUCAGGAUAAACUAUCACCUCUUCCGCCAAGAGAAACCAAAGUCUUCUGAUACACUAAUUUGGGGAGUGAAAUCGAUGGACUUUUGCAUGGCUAAUAUGACUAACUUAGUCCAAGUUGAUGAAAUACCUAGAUAUAACAGUGUCUCUCUGUUUUUUUUUUUCAUUUUUCCUGUUAGGCGGCCUCAGGGUGCAGGGCCUCGCUAUAAAAUAUCACGUGUAUUAUUUAAUGAUUUUUUUCAAUUCUGUACUCUAAAGGCACAAUAGUGGUGAGAGAUGGAUGAGAUUAUUGGAAUUGGAUGGUCUGAAAGGAAGGACGGUAAGCGAGAAAUCCUGAAUUUGUACCCUUCCAUUGACACCCAAAACAAUGUGAAAAAGGUGCAUAGUAAGAAGAGUGGACCCCUAUUUGAUCCACUAUAAAAUUCCAAUAUUAUGAUCCACGACGAAUUAUGCAAGUUUCAACCAUAGCGGAUCACUCCAAAUUCCAUCAACUUCAAUUAGGUACAUCAUGUAAAAUUAUUAAUUUACUAAAUUGGGGUUCUCCAAUCAUCAAAGUCGAUAUCUCUUUGCUGUAUGACCUGUUUGGAGGAUUUGGAAUAUUUUGAUAAAUUUAGAAUGCAAAGUAUUCAAAAUAAAGGAGUUUAAAGGAUAAAAACGUAAAGGGUGCAGAAUAGAACGAGUCCAUAUUAUUUUUAUUUUUUUUUUUGGGUUCACAUACAAGUCCAUUUGAUUCCACAUUAUUUGAUCAAUUUAUUUUGUAGGGGAAAAUCUAAAAGGCUCUCUUUUAGGUUGGAGUCAACAAAUAUUAAUUGCUCACAAAUGGGGAGUCAGCUGCCACAGCGGUCGUGGUACGUACUUCCCCUUGCAUUUUGUACGGAAAUCUAAAUAAUGAUCAACCUCAAUAUUUUUAUGCAAUUUGCAAUUAGAAAUGGGCAAGAACCAACAUGUUUACUCGAUUUUUGGUGAGCCCAGAAGAUUGACAUUCUAUUGCUUAGCACAACUUGCCUAUCUCAGCUUUAACAAUUGUUACUAGAAGCGAAUAAAAGGUAGCUACACAACUACCUCUUUCAAGAAAAAAAAAAAUAUUUCUAGUGAAGACAGGAAAGAGAAGUAUUGGGAGACAUGGUGAAUAAGCAUUGAUACCUUGAUAUAAUUCAAGCUAGCUUCCGACGGUGUUAAUUGUUUUAAAGCCUUCAGUCUGUGUUUUGGCUAAGCAGCUAAACAGAUCAAAUUUUGCAUAUUUUCAGGGCUACAAAAUGUGUAAUAGAAAUAAUUGUGAAAAAAAACAAUUGAACUUUAAUACCGGAUAAAAUCACUUUUUCGAAUCUGGCUCACAAGUUUCCCCAUAUAUGUCUGUAAUCUAGAGCUCCAUUCAAAAUGUUAUUUGAGUUUUGAUAAUACUCCAAAAUCAAUUCAAGUUCGCUGAUUUGAAGUAGCUAGUUGAGGCUUUUUUUUUUUUUUUCUUUCUUUCUUUUGGGAGCAAAUGAAGAACUUUUAUUGAUGAGCAGUAAAAGCUUGUUAAAGCAAGAGGCAUUGUUUUGCUAUAACCCUACUUCUAACUGGAGAAAUCUACUACAGGUCCGAAAAUGAUUUUAGUCCAAUCUAUAUGUAGCUAGUUGAGGCUUUAUAUUUUGUUAUCCAAUAUGAUUUUAGUCCUUCUUGUGGGUAUGAGUUAAGGCGUGGUUCGUGUAUUAUGUCCAAGGUGAGUCAUCAAGUCAGCAACCGUUAGAAACAAUUUGUAGACACAAUAUAUGUACUAACACAAUAGAUAUAGAUAUUUAAAUAUCAAUUAUGGACACUAAAAAAAAACACAGUUUUUAAUGCAAACACUAUAUUAAUAUUUGCACGUUGUUGUCUAAGUGUCGAUAUUUGAUAAUUUGAUAUGUACAAUACGAUCGUUCUUGUAAUUCUUUUUUCUUGUAGUUGAGAACAGAACUGAAAGCUAUAUUACGUUCAGGCGACUUUGUAAAGCAAAUGGAUUAACUGCUCUCAAGGCCUUCAAAGUUUCUUUAACCUUAAAAGAACCUGAACAACAAGCAGUCCAGAUGGUUUGGUGGUCUCCAUUUUCAGGAUAUAUAAGGUACAAAUUAAGAGGUUAGCAGUAGCAAGCUGCUGCUUGAGCAUUCUGAACUGAUCAGCUAACAAUUCACAAGCCUCGAGAAGUCGUGGUUAAAGUUCUUGCAAGAUUUUGUCGUUCAGUUUACUGAGGUUUGUCUGCCUGAUGUGGAAAACGGAAUCUUGGGUUUGAGACCUAAUUCCAUACCAUCGAUUAAAUCUGCCAAGAAACCAUUUAGAACUCUUAUGUGUUGUCCGUGUAGUUAUGAUAAAAAGGCUUAAUUUUUAGUAUUUACAUUCAUUCUUUUAUUUCUUUGUAACUUUCUGCAGGUGUAGAGGAAGCUCAACGGGUGCUGGCAAGAGAAGGAGCAUGGCACCGUUGCCAUGCUAGUCAAUACUGGUUGCCUUUCGCUAGGCUGAAUCCUAAGGGGUCUCAAACCACAUCCCUAUCCUGAUUCACUUUGGACAGCUGCGUGAAAUUUUUAGCAGUUUUGUGUUCUAUUUGUUUGCCUUUUCCUUACAUAUUUCAACUGGCUCAAAUAGGCCUAAUUAAAGGUUAUUGUAAUCAUGGUUCAAAGUCGUGGCGACGGUCGCUGUCGUGGAUCGGACUGUUACACAGCGGUCUCGAUAUAUCGAUUGCGGUCUCAGCGAGACGUAAAUUUUUUAAAUAUUUAAUAUUCUAAAAAUUGUAAAAAAAAAUAUGAUAAACAAAAAUAAUAAAAAAUUAGUAAAAAAUAAUAAAAAUUCGAGUUGAUUCGGGAUAAUUCGGACCGAUUCUGCCAUUUCUAUCCAUCUUGGAGACAUUUUGAUUGAAUUUUCGGUGAUUCAUUAUAUCGGAAUCAUCUCAUCUCAGUUUCUGAUUAGAAAGUCCCGUUUUGAUGACAAUUCAACUGAGUCGUUUUGGUCUCGGCCGAGUGUUUGAACCAUGAUUGUAAUACAUCGUCAUCAAGUCUUAUCAAUUAUUCUAUUGGUUAAGCCCUAUUCUCAUGAAUUAAUGCACUCAAAGGUUUUCUUGAACCUUUUUGAAACACUCUUGAAAGUCAAUCGUGCAUUACUUUCUUUAGGAUUCGAUUCGCUGUCGCUAAUUAUUUAAGUUGAGUUGGUAAGGACAUCUACUGAUCAAGUUUAAAUACCACAAUCGCCAUUCGUAUUACUAUUAAGUAAAAUUUAUUAAAUUAUUUAUCAAACUAAAUGUAUAAGAGAAGAAUAUUCACUGAAGUUAUUUAUUCUUCUUGGAUUAGAAGAAGACUUUAAAAAGUGACCACACGGGCAUACCUGACUUUAUAUGAUAACACAACUAAAAAAGGACUCCAAAACCCGGUCUUAGUAGAACUAGUACAGCUUCAUGCCAGAAUCCUUGUCACCCCAAGGUGGCUUUUAUGCAAGAAAGGGAGAAAAAACUAAACAAAACGGAAAAUUAAAAGACAGAGCCUGAAAUCUAUAAAUGGUGCCUGAAAUGUAAUCACAUCCAGAUAGCGUUGGCUUCGAUAAGCAAUGGCUUCAACUUGCCCUUAACAUUGAGGCUCAUAACCUCAUUGGAACCACCAACAAAAAUCUUACCUAUGAAAACAGCAGGAACACUAGGAUUGCAUCCUAAUGUUAGCAAUGCAUUCUCAACUUCUCUUCCUUUUGGAAGGUGAUCAAGCUCAUAAACCGUAGGGUUCGCCCCAAAGCUGCUUAUCAGAAUCUUGAUAGCAUGGGAAAUGCAGCAGUUGCUCUUGCUGAAGAUCACCACUGGCUUUUCUGACCCCAAUCUCCUCACUGUUUCCAUUCUACUUUCUAUAAAACUUGCUUGUCAAGAAGUUAAAAAGUUCGAACUACUACUUGAGUUGAUAGGAAGUUUAUGACUUGGUUUGAGAAAAUUUCUGAAUUGUACAAAGGUAUAUAUAGAGGGCUAAGGAUGAUGGAUUGUAAUACUUCUGUUCAAAUAGGAAAAGUAGGAAAUGUGUCUGAUCUUGCUUCUAAAGUUGAUGCUUCAGAAAUAUCAGCAGCUAUUCGAACAGGGUAAAGGUUCAAUCUGUCUUAGGUAACAUAUAGAAUCUUAAGUUGCGUUAGCAUGCUGACAACAUAAAAAUUGGAAAAGUAGUAGUGGAUGAUUUCUUCUUUUACUAGAAAGAUUCUAAGGCCUGGAAGGUUUACUAUGGAUCACGAAUUCAGUUAGAUUUGUCAAUAUCAAAGAAAUUCUUAUAGUACGAUCCCUUGAAGUUUCCAAAGAAAUUCUUACAUCGAAUCAAUUGACGAUACAAUGAAUAAUAAGACAGCCUUCUUUUUUUCUUUUUUUUUUUGAAAAAAGUAGUGAUUAAUAGUAACUUAUAGUUCAAAAUUAGUAGGUAAAUGCACCCCUUGAUAUGCGCAGCUGUCUAUGGUUUCAGCAAGUUAAAACAGAAAUAUAUAGACUAUUACACUUGCAUUGUGAGAGUAUUAAUUGCAAAAAGAAAUUUUAUGACAACCCUUGCAUCAUUUUAUGAGACAUUUAUAAGAUAUUGUUAUUUUAUUUUUUGUACUUAUGAGAGUGUGAACAAAGUAAGUUAAUCAAAAUUGGGGAGUUGUUAUAAAUUCCUCUCUCUGUUUUGGUUUGGGAUAAGUUUGUACAGAUGUUAAUUAUAAUUUCAAGUGAAUUAAGCCAUGGAGGUGUUUGAUUGUAUUUUUGAAUCGGAUUCAAAAUUGCAAUAGGAAUCACAAUCAUAAACCCCACUAUUGGUACAGGUUUUCAUCACUUUCUAUUUUAUAUAUAUAUAUAUAUAUAUAUAUAUAUAUAUAUUGUUUUUGAACCGAAAUGGGGAUCAUUCUUUUUUUUUUUUUUUAAAUCAGAACUUUUUUAUUUUAUUAAUGGAAGAGAUAUACACAAUAUUUUCUUACAGACGUCUAAAAAUGGGGAUCAUUCUAUUAAUGAGUUGAUUACUUUGAAAUCUAAUUGGUAAUCAGUGAGGAAUGAUUUUUAUAACAUUCAUAUUUUCAAUGAAUGAUUUUUAUUGUGGUCUAUCAAACAAUAGAUAUAAUUGAACAAAACAAAACGUUGGACUUCCCCAGGUGAACAGAAUAUAAUUCCUUUGACUGUUUAAGGACAAUAGUUUUAAUUGUUUGAGGCUGUUAGGUUCAUGAGUAAAUGAUUAUGUCUCACAUUUAUCCGAGAAAUAGAGAAAGAACAGUUAAUAUAUAAGUAAGGACCCAAAACCUAAUGAUUUAAGUUUUUGGAUCAGAGUUGAAUUCCUGACUUACAUAUUGGUCUCUUUGGUGAACUUUCUCGAGGUGUUCCCCCUAUCAAAUUAGUAUCAGAGUUUCAGGUUGCGAGUUACUCGUGGGCAAGUGAAUCUUUUUUGGAAUUGGAUCAGUGAAAAUUCGCUUUUUGGUGGUGGACUGAAGUGCCAAGAAGUUUGAUUGGUAUUAAACCAGGUGCGAUAUGAGUUUGGCAGGGGUCCGGUUGGUGUUAGACCAAGGAGUCAAAGGUUGGCAAGGGUCUAGAAUGCAGUUUGGAUGUUAAAGAAAAGUGGAUCCAUAUUUGGGAGAAGAUGUGACCUUAGGUGAUAAAGUGAACUUGUAUUGAGUAUUAAAAUGGGUUCGAAAAAGGGUUUGUAAAUUUGGAUUUAAUGUAAGAGGUUACUCGUGAAGAUAAAGAUUUAUUAGAUUCAUGAGAAAAGGAUUUAUGUCCUAGAUUGGUCCGAAAGAUAAAGAAAGAACAGUUAAUAUAUAAGUAAGGAUUCAAAACCUAAUGACUUAACUUUUUGGAUCAAAAUUGAGUUCCUGACUUAUAUAUUGGUCUAUUUGAUGGACUCUCUCUAGGUGUUCUUCCCUGUCGGAAACCAAUAGUACGUAUGAUUUUGUUUUCUUUCCAAAUAUUUUAGACCAUGUAUAUUACAAAGAAAAGGGACUUCUGUUUUUCAUUUUGUUUUUCCUUUUAGGUAAUAAAGAUAAAGAGGAAGUCGUUGCUUAUCAAAGUUGACUGACGACUUCAACUAACAAAAGUAAAACCGAACCAUUCCCCUCCUAAAAAGCCACGCGGGUCCCUCUAACAUUUUGCUUUUGCAAUUGAAGGAUUCUUCACCACCAACCCAAUUUGAAAACAGCAUAAAUAUGUAGACCAAGCCAGGUUGGUCAUGGUCUAAAAAACCAGUACAAAAGCGACAAGAAGCUACCAAGAAGAGUAGUAGCAGAUUCUCCAUUUCUGAGCAACAUUUUUCUCUUAACACAAAAAUGAUGCCUUUCUCCACAUGAUAUAAAUAGGUAGAAUAAUAAUGUCGAAGAUUCAAUAGUAUUAUCAAUCCAUUAGAUAUUUGAUGAACCCGAGGGUUGGUUAAUUCCCGUUUCUUUUAAAGGCAAAAUGCAUUUUUUGUCCACAAAAUUUACAGGAAUUGGUCCUCAGGGUUUCAACUAAUUAAAACAAAUGUAGUCCCUAAAGCAUAUUAAGUCAUUAUGUUGGUCCUUAAUGAUUUAUAAAAUAUACAAAAUUCUAUUCAUAUAAAAUAAAAAUAUACACGAAUUCUAUAAUUAUUGUGGAAAAUUACAAAAAUAUAAUGAUUUAAAAAACUCUAUGAAAUAAGCGUAAGGCAACCCAAGAAAUUCAAUUAAUAUUAAAAUAAAUCAUGUGUUGUGAAUGAGCUAUACUUAUUUGUUUUGUGUGCUUUUCUAACAAACAAAUUAAGCAUUAUAAUUUGUACUUGGCCUACUUUUAUGUACAAAUAACAAUUUAGCAUAUCUACCAGCUGUCAUCAUUUGGUAAAAAGUAAAUAUGUUAUAGUUAUUUUUCUAGUGUUUUAAUUUCUAAAAAAAGUUUUAUAAUUUUUCUAGAAUUUUUGUGUAUUUUUCAUAUUAUGCUAGUAAAUUUACUUAAAUUUGACAAAAGCAUUGGGAACUAAUUUGGGCAACAACAUACUUUAGGGACUACAUUUAUUUAGAUCAAAAUAAUGAGGAAUAAUUUGGUAAAAAUUGAAAUUUUACGGAUUAUUUUUAGUAUAAUUGAAAUAAUGAGGACCAAAUUGGUCUUAUCUCGAAACUUUGAAGACUAAAAGUGAAUUUUUUUUUCUUCUUAUAUAAAUAACAUUUAAAUUAGAUUUAGAGGAUAAGCGGAUGACAUAACAAGUGUAAGCGAUACCAAUUUUAUUAACCCCAGUUUAGUUUCUUAGACAAUUCCAAAAUCAGAACCGGUAUGCUUUGGGUUUGUUGACAAGGAGUUUCGUCCAUUUAUAAGGGGAAACUCUGCCAAAAUUUUUAAUAAAAAAAAUAAAUAAAUAAAAAAGAACCGGUAUGCUUUGCAAAGACUGCAUUUUUUGUCAAUUAAGCCAAUACAUCCUCCUAUGAGCUAAGCAACUAAUUAGUUUCAUCCUUUUGUAAUUGAUCUCCAAUUUAUGUUUAGACUAACUAAUUUGAAGAAAAAUAAAUGAAAAUGUGGCAAGCACUUUUGUUGCAUUUGAAGCUCACCUUCGUAGAAAUAUAUAUAGCUUCAGCUUAAGUAAGCCGGUCACUCCACUCUUUCUUUUCAAAAAAAUAUAAAAAAAAAAAAGUUUAGCCAUUUAUCUACCAAGUAUAUAUAUAUAUAUAUAUAUAUAUAUAUAUAUAUAUAUAUAUAUAUAUAUAUAUAUAUAUAUAUAUAUAACAUAAGAUAAUUAACCAAAGUUAUUUCUUCUCAUUAUGUUGGAAAGCUGUAAAAGUACAUAGACACUGACAUAGAUCAAAAUUGACUCUUGAGAACUAACAGAGACUCAAAAUUGAUCAAAACUUUGUCUUAGUACAAUUGUUAAGACUUCAUGCCAAAACCCUUGUCACCUCAAAGUGACCUUCAUGCAGAAGAGGGAGGAAAAACAAAGCUAAACGGGUAAAAAAAAAAAAAAAAGCACACUCACACGAAACCUAUGGAUGGUGCCUUAAAUGGAAUCACAUCCAUAUAGCGUUGGCCUCGAUAAGCAGUGGCUUCAACUUGCCACGAACAUUGAGGCUCAUAACCUCAUUGGAGCCACCAACAAAUAGCUUCCCUAUGAAUACAGCAGGAACACUUGGAUUACAUCCUAAUGUUAGCAAUGCAUUCUCAAUUUCCCUUCCUUUGGGGUGAUGAUCAAGCUCAUAAACCGUAGGAUUCGCCCCGAAGCUGCUUAUCAGCACCUUGAUAGCAUAGGAAAUGCAGCAGUUGCUCUUGCUGAAGAUCACCACUGGUUUUUCUGAUCCCAACCUCCUCACUGUUUCCAUUCUACUUUUGGUAAAAUUCGCAAGGUCAAGAACUUGAAAUUUUUUGAGCUACCGCUUGAGUUGAGAGGAAUUGUAUGGCUUGGUUUGAGAAAAAUCUUGAGUUCCAUAAAGGUAUAUAUAGAGGGCUAAGGAUGAUGGAUUGCAGUAGUUUUCUUCAAAUCGGAAAAGUUGGUAAUCCAGAAGAUUUUGAUUCUAAAGUAGAUGCUUUAGAUAUUAUCAGCAGCUAUAGAAAUAGGAUUGAGGCUUGAUCCGUCUUAAGUUGCCCUUUCAUGCUGACAACAUUGAAAACGGAAAGCAGCGGUAGAUGAUAAAAGUUUUCUUCGUAAUUUUACUAGAAAGAUUCUGAGGCCAGGAAGGUGUACUAUGGGUUAUGAAUUCAGUUAACCAUGCGUUUAUGCAAAUGUUCAUUAGAAACUCAAGUGAGUAAAACUAUAUCUGCAGAAAUUGGACAAGAAAAAUUCAAAAAAAAAAAAAAAGAAAAGAAAAGAGAAAGCAAAACAGUGGACUUCUCCGAGUGAAAAGCAUAUAAUUCCUUUGACUGUUUACGGUGAAUAGUACGUGUAACCAUGUUCCAAUCUUUCCUUUUUCUAAGUAGAUAAAUUUCAUAUUGCAAAAUAUCUUAGGCAACUUAUUGCAAAGAAAAAGGUUUUCUAUCCCUUUAGUUUAGGGAUAAAGGUAGGAGUAAGUCGUUGUUAUCAAAGUUGAUUGACGUGCAGAGUGUUUUUUUUUUUUUUUUUUUUCACAGAUCAAAUUUGAUCUUAUUUAGACUAUUUAUUUUAAAAGACAUUUAUUUUAAGAUGAUUGAUUCAGAUUGAACAAAUGUGGUCCAAUCAAGACUCUGAUCGAAUCAAGCUAGUAUGACCCGCAUCUUUCAACUAAUUAAAUUAUCGACCACCCAAGUGCCUUCAAUUAUUUUGCUUUUGAAACGAAAGGAUUUUCUGCCACCUAUCCAAUGAGGAAACUGAAAUGAAAGAUAUGCACUAAACCAUAAAUGGUCAUGGUCUAGAGGGCCGUUACAAAAGCAAGAAGAAGAUACAAAGAAGGGCUUUAGUCGAUAAUAUUCUCCAUUUCUGAGCAAAAUUUUUCUCUAACACAAAGAUGAUGCCUUUCUAGACUUUUACCACAUGAUAAAUAGAUCGAAGAAUAGUUUUCAAGAUUCGACCAUAUUAUCUUCCCUAUCUCACCAAAUGUUCCAUCAAAAAGAUGUUUAAUGAUUCCAAAGGGUCGGUUUUUAUGCUUUGCACUUUUUAGAAAGAAAAUUCAUUAAAGGACUAACUAGAUGACCCAUAAGAAGGGUAACACUUACCAAUUUAGUUAAACGUUGCCUCGAUUCUUUUCUUCUUCCAUGCAAAAUUUGAAAAUCAGAACUAUGUUAUAUAUAUAUAAAUAUAUAUAUAUUGAAAAACUGCAGGAGCAAAGAUUACUGUUUUUUUCGCAAGUGUUAUGUUGUUCAUAAGGAAAUACUUUAGCAAAGAAACCUUACAAGUGCAAUGUAACCAAAGCCACACUAGGUCUACUAUGUUUCUUCUUUAUGGCUUUUAUGAAUGCCCUUAAGGAAAAGAAGAAAAAAACACAAAAAAAAACACUUACUAUUAGCAAAAAGCAGACAUCCUGAUUAGCAAACAGAUGUGUCACACAAAUUAAACCUAAAUGAGACCAACUUUCAAGUAAAUAUCACCAAAAGAUAUACUAUUUGCAGUUGUCCUCAAAACACAAUUCAACUGAUAGGGACGUAAAUCAGAACGUCAAUCAUGCGACAGUGAAAUGUUUUAUUUCGUUUCUCCUUGUAAGGUUUAGAACAUACCCAAGCCAGAUAUGCUUAGCUAAAAUCAGUAGCUUUCACUUUCUCCUGGCUGAUCAUCCAUAUUCCGCCAUGAUAAUCCAUCACCUCUUGCGCUGAGAGAAACCAAUGUUUCCUGAUACACAAUGGCUCUUAGGGUAAGUUCAGUCCCAAAAAUGUCAUAUUUCAUGAUUGCUUGGCUGUUAUCACGCAGAGAGCGAGAAAUCAAACAUCCAUCCUCACCAACCCUUUGCAGCAAAAGCAGCUUAUCAUCAUUCCAAGAGGAUAAUGGUAAAUUAAGUCCAGCCAUGGGGGUUUGUAAGGAAAAUUUCUUGAUCCAAGACUCUUUGACGCCAUACUCCAUCAUCACCCAUAUAUCCAUGGUUUCCUCAUACAAGAGUGAGGAAAAUGGCAGGUAAGGGAAUUUGAUCGAGAUAGCAGCAAGAUCCCCAUCCAAGACGAAAACAUCCGGUCUUACAUGCGGCUGUCGCGCAUCAGAGGGAUAUUCUAUCUUUCUAAAAACCUCAGUGCACAUGUUGAAAGAAAGGAUAUUUCUCAUGACCGACCCCGACUCAGGGUCGAUGUCAGAUGCAUCCCAGUGAAAGCAUCCAUUGACUGUGGCAGGGAAACAUGGGGGAUAAAUGUUCACUACUUGUGGAAGGAUAAGAUCAACCUUUCUCCAAGAAUUUGUACAGAGCUUGUAUAUUUGAACUCCCAUCACCAUCCCCAAAUAAGAAUAAUUACUUCUUGAUUUUGGAUAAAGUUUAUAUAGCUUGACUACCUUGUAAUCUUGGGUGGAUGGAUCAAAGCCAAACCCUAAAGCAUGUGGACUGACCGAUUUGAACCCUUUUGGUGGAUCAAAGCGGAGGCUUGGAGGAAGUGUCAGGAAUUGGCGUGUUGCAGGAUUACACAGAUGAAUUUCGGAGAGAUCCGAGAAGCAAACGAUGCCAUUGCACGCUCCAUAUAUGUCGAAUGAGUAACGAUUCCACGAAGGUAGCUCUAUAUUAGGGGCAACACUGCGGAGAGAUUCAUGUUCAUCGUGAGAAUGGAAUGAUAACAGGGUUUUGAAUUCGUUCUUGAUGAACCGCUUGACGAGGACGACUUUGCGAUUCUUGCUGUGUAAGUAUUUCAGAUGCUUGUCUUCAAAAUAAGGGCUGUUGAUCAAAGCGAACCAUGUAUUAGAGACGCAGCAGAAUCUCAACAAUGUCUUGACGGGCAGUUUCACGAGGAUUUCUGCCAGGGCAUCCUCCGGCAACGAAUUCGCCAUAGUAGAAUAAAAUUCAGGAGUGGAAUCGAUGAAUGGAUUUUGGGAUUUUGUAGAGAAUCCACUAAUUAAUAUGAUGGUCCUUGUCCAAGUUCAUGGGCGAUUUCAAGCGUCCAAAACAGAGAGAGAGAGAGAGAGAGAGAGAGAGAGAGAGAGAGAGAGAGAAGGGUUUCAAAGCCGAUGAGUUGGGCUUUAGGGUUUAGCUCCGAUUAUUGCUUGAGAGGGAAAAAAUUUUUGGGUUCUGAGACGAAAUAUGACAAGUACAACGACGUUUCUAGCUCCAAAUCCAAGUUUAUGAGGAUUAAACAGAAAUUGAUGAGAAGAGAAUGAUUCAACUCCGCACUUAAACCUAAUUUUCUCAAGUAUGAGUUGUCAACUCGUUACUUUGCCAGCCAGCAGAUAUCAUACGGAACAUUACACGUAAUUUUUUCUUUUCAAGAUGGUAAAAGUUCAUCAUAUAAAUACUAGUCGGUCAAAAUUACACAUACGAAUUUAGUGAAAUUAAGCAUAUAAAUUUAAGCGUAAAUGAUACAAAUAUAUAUAUAUAUAUAUAUAUAUAUAUAUAUAUAUAUAAAUGAUGAAACUAAAAGUACGGAAAAGAUUAUUACAAUUCUCGGAGACUAUGCAGUAUUAGGACCAAUACGAGCUCUUAUCCUUCAUUAUGAGAUAUUAAAAUUAUUAUAAUUUCAUCACCUUUUUAUUUUUAUACCUAUAAAAUUUAUGAUUUAAGAAGUUGCUAGAUUGUAUAUAACUCGGAAGGUAUGCUAUUAUCUCUAUACAAAUUUUAAAACUUUUUAAAAAUUGAAGUAUAAUUUGUGAAAUAUAAUACACCAAAAGUUUAUUACAUGUUUUAUAUAGAUUAGUUGAAAAGUAUGAGUAUUAUUCAGAAUAACUUUUAAAUGAAAAAAAAAAUUUUGAUUAUACAGAUUAACAGGUAUAAUACGAGUUCUUAAUAACUAGGUUUUCAAAUUACUACAACCAAUCUAGCAAGACUAUUCACAGCUAUCAAGCAAAUCAAAAGUCGAUCCUGAGAGAACAAAAUUAACUAUUAACUCAUUUCAUUUCCAAUUGAUCAGUUAAAAUUAAAAAGCUUAAAUCACAUCCUUCAAAGCAAAACUACCAGGGAAGAUAAUUAAGUAAGCUUAUCUCUUAUCCCUUCCCACUUAAAAUAAAAACCUCAAACGUACAAACAAGAUGUUAAUAGGACAAUUGGGCAUUAAAUACCAUCAUUGACUAUAACCUUAUUAGUGCAUCAAAAUCAGAACGGUACAUUUGAUAUUACAAUGACUAAAAGUCACUCAAAACUCAAUAAAACUUACACUUAAUAAAAAUGGUAGGAGCCCAUGCUAAAGCCCUACCUGAAUUUGGGUUGCUUAAUUUGCUCAAAAGGAAAAGACAACAAUUAAAAUAGCAAAACCAAAUCCUUUGGGUGCUUAACUAUAUUCUGGUUAUUACAUCCAUAUAGCCUUUGCCUCGACAAGCAAUGGCUUCAGCUUGCCUUGAAUAUUGAGGCUCAUAACCUCAUCAGAACCACCAACAAAAAGCUUCCCUAUGAAAACAGCAGGAACACUUUGAUGGCAUCCUAAUGCUAGCAAUGCAUUCUCAAUUUCCCUUCCUUUAGGAUGUUGAUCAAGCUCAUAAACAGUAGGGUUCGCGCCAAAGCUGCAUAACAACAUCCUAAUAUAUAGCAUGUGAAAUGCAGCAAUUGCUCUUGCUGAAGAUCACCACUGGCUUUUCUGACCCCAAUCUAGCUCCUCACUGCUUCCAUCCUACUUUUGACACAAAAAAAAAAAAAAAAAAAAAAAAGUCUAGUCAAGAACUUCAGAAUAUGCACUAGUGUUGAGUUGAGAAUUGAGAGGAAGUUUGAGGCUUGGUUUGAAAAAAACCUGAAUUGCAUGAGGUAUAUAUAUAGAGGCCUAGAGCCUUGGAAUUGCAUAUAUAUAGUUUUCUUCAAGUAGGAAUCCUUAGAAAGCUGUAAGAAUUUGCUUCUAGAGUUGGUGUUUGGAUUGUAAUCUAUACUAUAGUACCUUAAUGUGUCUCACAGAGAAUAGAAUCUCAAGUUGCAUAAACAUUUUGAGGUUUGCAUCUUAUGACGGAAAGUGAAAGAAUUAAUAGAUGAUAACAGUCUCCUUCCUUUACUAGAAGAUUAUGAUGGCAAAAGGAUACAAGGCUCGUGGAUUCCCUUAGAUUGUCAAAAUCAAAGAAAUUCUUGCUUUGCUGUUAUUUUGAAGUUUCAAAAGUAGAUAGCUUGUAUAGCGCCACCAAAUUUAGGGCUUCUUUAUUGCAAAAAUUGACUAUGACAAGUGAUCAUAAAGAAAAAUCAAAAUCAGUCAAAACCACUUUCAGGGAGAUUCUAAAUUUCAAUCCUUUUGGUUAUUAAAAAUGUUAAAUUAUAAAUACAAAAGCAAAUGAGAAAAUCAACCAAACAGACUGUCUAAAAUAUCAGAACCUAAAAUCACUGGAUGAAAUAAUCAAAUGACAACAAAUAUUAGCUUUUUGUACUAAAGGCCUCAGAUCAGCAGGUACAGUCAAAAUAUGGACAAUUAUGCUAUGACUUUGCACGUGUAAUUUGUACAGCAUAUAUAGGCAUGCCCUAAAAUGACUUUAAUUCUGAAAUCAAAUUAAUAAGAAACUGCAAAAUAUUACAAAAUUUUGAGUCAUGAAUUCCAAAUAACUGAAAAAGAAGAAUGAACAGAAUCUUCAAGCAAGUGAAGAUAAAUGCAUCCAUUUUAAUUAAAAGACAUUGCCUUCUUCUUGACCGCUGGUCAUGAUAUGUACCAGACCUUGCUUCAACUUAACAUUAAUUAGACUUCUCCAGAUGAACAGAACCAAAUCCUUUGACCGUGUAGAGAGAAUCCAUGUAAAUCAUAUCCUUUUGGGCUUGCUAAGUAUGACUACUUUGCCUUUUAUUUCUUUUAAGCAGAUGAACUAUACAUUGUAUUGCAUCUAAGACCACUGAUAAAAAAGGGAGAAAUAAAUUGUUCAGCAAAAGUUGAUUCCCUUUGGUUUUUUCUUUUGGAAGAAAGGGAUUCUUGGCCACCCACCCAAUUGACGGUACAGCAUAGCAUCAUAACAUGGACUAAACCACAAUGGUAUGGUUCGGAAAUCCGUACAAAGGCAGAAAAAAGUGCCAAGAAGGGGUAGUAAUAGCAGAUUCCCCCCUUGUGAGAGAUAUAUUUCGAGUCUAAGCCAAAAGAGAUGCACUUUCUAGAUUUUCUCCACAUGAUAAAUCCAUCAAAUAAUGUCUACAUCCUUUACGUUUUCAUCCUCGGAACUAUUCUGUUUUAAACACUUCAUACUGAAAAAUUAUCCAAAAUAGUUGUUAAUUUUAUCCAUAAAAGUGAGCAAGAACGUAUAUGCUUUCACUAAAUUUUGUGUGGGUUUCAUGGAUUUUGAUGUCAAUUUUCAGGACAUCGUCCAUAUAGUUUCAUUAUACAUAUUUUGAGAUAAAUAUGAAGCGUUCAAAAUAAAGAUUGGAAGUGUAAAGUGACACUAAAUGGUUAUCAAAAAUACUGCCAAGAUGUCAGGAAUGAAAAACGUUUAAGUGUAAAAUGUGCAAUCUUCUAAAACAUAAUAGAUUUAAAAGUGAAAUUCAUUAGUUUCUUUACUUCUAUAUUCACCAACAGGUUGUUGACUAGCCACCCAAGAGAAUAAAAGGUAGUUGUCUGCCCUACGGGGUAGUCUAGUGGUAAGCGAACUCUUAAGAACUCAUUUGAUUCUGGGUUCGAAUCUUACCCUGAUCUUAAACUCCCGUGACUCGCCCGGAUGCGUUGCGUGAAGCCAUGGAGUACUCCUCCGGUCUGAUGUGUCGGUUCGGAUCCUAAGUGAUUCAAGUCGAGGCAUGUUCCGAAUUACCAAAAAAAAAAAAAAGUAGUUGCCUACCUCUUUCCAAACCAAAAAAAAAAAAGAAAAAUAGCCAGUUAAGAUAUGAGAGAGAAGUAUUGGGAGACAUAGGGAAUGAAGGCUAGAUACCGCUAUAUCCUCCAAGCUGCUUGUAAAGGUGCUAAUUAAUUACUUCUUGAAGAUGAAAAAUCACGUCUUCAGUUAGUCUUUAUUCUUGUAAGCAGCCAUAAAAAUCAAAUCAAAGCCGACCAUAAUGCUAUAAACUUGACCAGUAUGAUGUAUAAUAUUUGCAUAAUAAGCAACUUGUAAAGGUGUUAAUUCAUUAGUUCUCAAAGAUGAAAAAUCACGCCUUUAGUCCCUAUUCUUACUAAGCAGCGCGCUGUAAAGAUCAAAUUAAACCCGACACUUAAUGCUAUAAAAUUGAACGGUAUGAUGUAUAAUAUUUGCAUGUUUCUCAGUACUACUUAAUAUAUGAUAAAAAUAAAUAUGAAAAAGAAUGUUAUUUAUCUUGAAUAUAGAAUACAAAAAUUUUUGGGAGUCCGACUAACAAGCUUCUAGUAUAUAUCUAACAAUCUACAUUGGAAAAGUUGUUUGACAUACAAUUUUUCUUCGGAGUCAAUAUAAGCUCGUUAAUUCCGUGUUCUAAUCGUGCAAUUAACUAAUUACACUCUCUGAACAGGUUUUUAAGGUUUCGAUUUGUUAGUCGACCCAAUUAAGGUAGACAAGGGAUAUUUGUACGUUAAUACUUUAGCGUCCAUGUUAAUACUUUAGUGUCCACAUUUAGUCUUUUGUGGGUGUAUUUAUUGCGUUACUUCAUAAUGUUUAUGGUCCAAUCUCCACUGAUAAUUUUUUUGGUUGACAAGAGAACUUGCAGCUGCUACUGGAGAGUGCGCAUUAGAUAAACCCUUCCCCGUGCAAUAGCCCGCCAUAUGCAUGAGGUCAUAUGCAUUAUAUUUUCACUCAUUUUUCCAAGAGUAGAAUGAGAAUGAAUAUUAGAAGAAGAUCUUCCACUAAAUUAUUGACUACUCCAUUCUCCAUUGGGGUGAUAGUUCAGUAGUUGAUUGAUGCCGGCUCUAUACCGUAGAAGAAGUCCAAAAUCUAACAUUGAAAUGAAAAAAAAAAAAAUAACCAUCUCAAUCCGAGCUUAUGCCAACAUACUAACUGAGAUACUAAGUUGUAAACAUUAACAUACAGAAACACUUCUGCCUUUUUUUUUCCUGCCAAGUAUUGUCUCACUAUAUAUUGCUUAAAUUACCAAUUAGGUAUAGUUGCCUUCAAUGUAGUAAGUCAACAAUAAGUCAAACUAAUCUGGCAACACAAAAAAAUAAAAUACAAGCUGCAGAUUAAUUUAGUUUAAUAUCCAAUAUCACUACUUUGCCAUUCCACUUGAAACUAAAGAACCUCAUUGAGUUUACUUCUCUAAUAAAGCAAAAAGUAUGAGAGAAAUAAAGUGCCACCUAUAUAUAGGCCACCCCCCCCCCCCCAAAAACAAAAAAAAAGAAAACCCCACAAACAAAAAUUUUGGUUAGAUCACCUUUAGUCACUAAAUUAUUUAAGGAUCUAAUUUUGUGUACGGAACUUCUUUUCUUCUUCGUUGUCUCAGUUGGAUCUUACAAUAGUCAUUGCACGUAAUUGUUGCCAUUUUUCGAGAAAAUGCAAUUACGAAACUAUUUCAGAGUUUGAUUUCACCUAUUAAUUAAAUUUGUCUUCUUUUUCUCUCUUAAUCUUUUUUUUUUUUUUUUUGGUGUCCUUAUACACAUAGAAUUCUUAAUGUACGUGUAUUAGGGAUUUCUAGAAAACUGAAGGAAAUGCAUGCCCAUGAUAUGACAGUAUGCAAGGGACAUCAACUCAGUUAACUUAAGAAAUGACCAAUGAAGGAUGUUUAAGAGUUCAAUGAGUAAACUGACCCAAAAAAUAAGUAAAUAAAUAAGAAGGUCUGCAGGAAAAAGCAAAAUUUUGACAUUGUUUGGUGACAUAUUUUGACUUCCACUUGAUAAACCAUACAAAAACAAAGAUACUGCAAUACAAAAGUAUCUGGCACCCUUAGUACAUCAAAAUCAAAAGGUAGAGACAUAGAAUAUCUAACUCACAGAUUAGAAUACAAAAAAACACCUGUAGGAGUUUAUACUAAUCCAAGAUUCUUAGUGGCUUUCUUCAGAAGGAAAAAAAAAAAAAAAGAACCGAGGCUAAUUCAUUAGAUGUUUCAGCGCAUCUGAUUAAUCUCACAUCCAUAUAGCGUUGGCCUUGAUAAGCAGUGGCUUCAACUUGCCCUGAACAUUGAGGCUCAUAACCUCAUCAGAACCACCAACAAAAAGCUUCCCUAUGAAAACAGCAGGAACACUUGGAUGGCAUCCUAAUGCUAGCAACGCAUUCUCGAUUUCCUGUCCUUUCGGAUGUUGAUCAAGCUCAUAAACCGUAGGAUUCGCCCCGAAGCUGCUUAACAACAUCUUUAUAGCAUGGGAAAUGCAGCAGUUGCUCUUGCUGAAGAUCACCACUGGCUUUUCUGACCCCAAUCUCCUCACUGCUUCCAUCCUAAUAUUGGGAAGUGAUCUUGGGAUUGAAAAUUUGCACUAGUACGUAGUAUUUGAUUUGAGGGGAAUUUUAAGGCUUGCUUUGAGGAAAAUAUUGAAGUGCAUGCAGGUAUAUAUAGAAGGCUACCUGAGAAUGAUUGCAGUAAUUUUCUCAAGGAAAGACUAAAAGGGUUCUAAGAUCUUGUUACAAAAGUUGAUGCCUGGAGCAUAUCAGCAACUAUACGGAAAAAAUUGACAGGUCCUGAGGCUAUGAAUCCUCUGUUACACACUAAUGUAAAAUACCUAUGCUACACCUAUAAAUCCUCUAUUAUACAUUAAAGUAUAAGACUUAUGUUACAUAUUUUGAAUCAUUGAUACGUGUACUUUUCAAGAGUUCAACUUAACUAGAAACAUAAUGAUAAUAAUUCAAAAGGAACAGACGUCAAUACAUCAAAGGGCAUAAAAUGAAUGUUGCAUACUAUGGUGCACCAGAAAACCCGUUUCCAUCUCACGACGCAUAGAAUCUCAACUUGCUUGAAGAUUCUGCAAUGGAAAGUUGUAGUGGAUGAUAACAGUCUUUUGCCUUUACUGAUUCUGAGUGCGGAAUGGUACACGGCCCAUGGUUUCGAUAGACAAGUCAAAAUCAGAAAAAUAUUGAUUAUUCUUUCUCUAAUCAUGUACUGAAUUUUCCACGAUUGACAGGUUUCAUAAUAUGCCCCCUAACUGUCCAAUUUAACAUGUUUUCACAAUUAUUGUACAAAAUUCUAUGAUCCAAAUUUACAAAAUUAAUCCAAAUCCUAGUUACUAUUUCUAUUCCUUUCAGUAUGAUCGGGCAGUGGCAUAUUUUGGCAAGUCAAUAACGAUUAAGAUUAAUCCAGAUCCUAUGUAGUUCAAAAAAAAAUGAAAUGGUAGUUUUUUUUUUUUUAUCUAAUUCAAUAACGAUGAUAAAAUUCAAUAACGAUCAUAUUGUUUGAUCUAAUUUGCAUACUGAUUGGACUUCUCCAAAUGAACAGAACAUGAUACCUUUUGCCUGUGGGCAUCCAAAUGAAUUUGUUAAUGUUGCUGACAAAUGAAUUUGUUAAUUAUUUUCUGUAUUUUAUUUAAAUAGGUUACUUUUACUGAUAUAUCUUGGACCAAUAAUUCCAAAUGAAAAUUGGAUUCAUGUAACGAGAGAAAGAUUUCUCAUUCCGUAGCCGGGAAGAUAUGUAGCUAUUCUACAUCUGAACCAAAUUCUUUAUGAGAUUAUCUUUCUAGCUGCUCUAGAACAAUUAGAAGAUUCUGUAGAAGAAAUAUGAGGUUCUGUAAGGGAUACAAAUAGAAGGAAAUUUAUAAAACAUUCCAAGGAAAAAAUCUGCCACUUAAACUUUACUUCAAACUUAUGAAGUUAAAGAAAUUUGUAGAGAAUAUCAAAACAGUUUUAAGAAAAAAAAAAAAAAAAAAAGAGGUUCCGAGAAAGUAAAAAGAAGAUCUUAAUUUAUACAAGUUACUAAUUUUAAAAAAGAAUCAAUUUGAUUGAGCAAAAGAAGUAUUUUUCUCUGUUUGGAUCAGUUAUUUUUGGGGUGUUUUUGAAAUAUUUUACUGUAGUAAUAUAGGUGAAAAACUUUUACUGUAACUAUUUUUGGAAGUAUUUUUUAAAUAUUUUACUGUAGAUGUAUUAUUCUAACAUUGUAUUUGAAAAAUUUAUUUUUCAAAAAAUGACCAAUACAAACGCAGAGGUUAUUUUUUGAUCCAGAUGACGACUGACCCCUCAAUAAAAAGAGGAGCCUCUCACCACCCAAAAGAAUUAUAUCAUAAUCUAAACAAGACUUUUGACUAAAUCAAAUAACAGGCAUGUUACAUGGAUCCGUACAAAAGGGAGGAGAAGGAACCAAGAAGUGCUCAAGCAGAUUCUCCAUUUCUGAGCAAAGGCCAAGAGAGAUGCCUUUCUUGAUUUUCUCCACAUGAUGAAUGGACUAAGUGAUGUGGAUGAUUCAAUCAUGCAUAUUUAUCCAUCAAAUAUUCCUUGGAAAAAAGAUGGCAUGCACUUAAUGACGCUAAGGGUCGGUUUGGUAUCCUCUUUUUGUAGUAAUUUAAUUUAAUUAAUGGGCUAGUAAUUCUCUUUCUAAUAAAAUUCUGACUACUAGAAGAGAAUCAUAUGUAGCUGCGUACUUCCUUCAUCAAAAAGCAAAGAACAUGAUUUAGGACACAGUUACAUCUUUAAGUUGAUGUUUUUUUUUUAUCUUAAAUUAAUGUUGUACACACCGAAAACGUAAUAAAUUGUUUAUAUCAUGUAGGUGUAGUGAUACGAACCUGACUCUCCAAACUCCCGCUUUUCAAAGAGACAAUUUGACUAGGCAGUGAAAAGAUCUAUCUUGAUCAAGUUAUGGAUAAUAUUGGGAUGGAAAAUAGGGUAGGCCGGUCACAAUUUAGGUGAAUACCAAACUGAUAUGACACUCAAAAAUCCUCACUUGAGAUGAACCAAAAUUUGAAAGACAAGAGUUUCCACUUAAACUCGAAGAAAGAACGAAAUUUCAAGCUUCAUUCAUUUGAAUCGACCGUCUAUUACAAUGAUGUUUAAAACCUUAUAUAGACAAAACCCUAACCUAAACCGAAAUCCAAAUCGAACUUGGACUGAUUUCACUUAUUUAAUAACUAAACUAUUAGAUUCAACUAAGCCCAUUAAGUUCAAAACUUAACACAAGAUUGGCCAUUUUAUUGACUAAAUACAUCUAACCAAAUUACUCAAUAAAAAAAUCAAACAAUAAUUAAUUAAAACAAACAAAAUCGGAAAAAUCUCAAAAAGAAAUUAAUGACACAAAAAUCGCAGACGGAUUGCACAUAAAUUCCACUGGCUAAGUGGACCGGUUUGUGGGCAGUAAUUUAAUCUUCUUUCUCGAGCUAAGUCAACGUCUUCCAAGUUUCUUGCUUGAACCUCCUUGCGUUCGAAUUAAAUACGUGGAAGUUUGAAAAGGUUUCUUAAUCCGUCCUGCACAAGCUUUAAUGUCCAUAUCAUGUAGACUAUAUAUAUGUUUAUGUGAGUUUUUCUAAUGAGUGUCUAUUAAACAUUUGUUAACAUAGCUAAACGCCAACUAACCUAUCAUGCAUAUAAACAUACUAACAAUUAUCAUCACUUUUCUUUACCUUUAUAUACUUUCCCUAAUUAAUCUUACCUUUCCAAAGAUCUAACACCUAAAAUACGUCUUCACCAUUGUUCAUUGAACAUCCAUUAGACAAACCCUGCGUGUAUAUCACAAGACAGACUACUACAAUUCCAAUCCACUUUCAAAUUAAUUUGCAGUAAAUUUCUCCAAUCAUUUCAAUGUCUUGUAUAUCCUCCAAUUCUCGUGUUGCUUCUUGACCAUCGAACAUCUCAUGAUGCCCGUGCAGCUAUACCUUUUUAAUUUUUUUUUUUUAUGAAUACACACGAAUUACAUUCGAGCAACACUGCAAGUAAAUCCACACAAAUUGUGCGUACAAUAAACCAUAUAUGUGGGAACCACUGAGCUAAAGCAUAACCAUAAUUGUGCGUGCCCCACCACCUCUCCUGGUGAGAUGGGAAGUCAGGGGUUUAACCCUUGCCUCCCAUCAAAUUGUCUGGCCCUCAUGGACAACUCGAUUGGUCUUAACAAGCCUCCUUAGGAGUUGGUGUCCAAUGCCCACAAGGGUCCGAAUCCUGUGAUUAUCGUGUUCGAGGGGAUGGGGCCUCUCCUCCCUAACUCGAGUGGGAUUAGUCGGGCCUCGUAAGGAUUGACCCAACACCCACUCCGUCAGCAAAAAAAAAAGAAAAAAAAAACCAUAUAUGUGGAAUAAGUAAUACACAUAUCUUUAACAUCAGAAGCACCUUUAGAGUGACCUCUUAACCAGCUCGAGUAAGGGUGCUGGUUGACGUAACAUUCUUACUUGGUUACUGAUUUUCAAGGUAUCCUAACAUAAAAGGUCCCUCAAGUCAUGGAUCAAAUUUUCUUACUUUACAAUACACCUAAAUUUUCUUCAAUUGUUCUCGAUGCAUCAAUUUUUUUCAAUGUGGUAAAUUAAUCGAUUAAGUUCGCCCAAAUUGAAUAUGAUUUUUAAUGGGGUAACAUGUUUCUGCAUCAAAAGAUAAAUUAACCGCCAAUAAUCGAUGACUUGUGGAUUGAGGAGGGAAAAAAAUUUACUAGUGGAGAUAUCUGUCCAUAGAUCAUUAAUUUUAUAAGGCCCAUAAAUGUCCCACUAUUUCUAUGUGUGAAAAUAUAAUUUUUUUUCUUUUUUAAGCAAAUGAUGGAUUUUAAGGCUAUUUCAGUGCAACAUGUAUACCUAAGUUGUCAAAAUUCGUUCAAUUUGAGGUUGAUUGGUCGAUUGUAUCAUGAAUUCGGAGUUUUGCACCCAGUUCUUACUCCUGGACCUCAUCUGUUGUUUCCACAACUAGAGAAGCACUCAAUGGCAUUUCACACUAAUAUAAAUUAAGUUGAUUUUCUUCAUCACUAAAUUGGUUAUUUUUUUUAAAUAAAAAAAUUGAAGUAAAUUAAUCAUUGUCAACAAAUUAAAUUUGCACCAAUUCAACAAAUUUGCACCAAUUAUACAAAUGAGAAUUCCAAGAUUUGAGAUCUCCCCACUCGCACUAUACAAAAAAAAAAAAAGAACCUCUUCUUUUUCUUUUAUGCAUUCUACAGAAAUUAAUAAUAUGUUCAUAAGUCACCUCCCAGACCAUGAAUUUUCUUGAAUGCCAAAUUUUAAAAAUCCUACUAAUAUCUAUUUGGAGUUUCUUUAAUUUUACGUCCGUACACACCCAUACACACAAAACAAUAUGAAAUUGUAAACUCAACUCGGAAAAAAUCACAAAGCCCAGGUUCUUCAAGAACAUGUUGAAGUGUGAUCCAAUGAUAUGCUAAGGCCCAAACAAAAACUCAUAAAGUCAACAUAGCCCACGUAGUAUUUUCAACUUUUUUUUUUAAUCCACUUACUUCUCCCUACAUCCUUUCCACCCCUAUUCAGUAAAAUUUACAUGUAAAAUUAAAAAUUUCCUUUUUUUGAUUGGUUAAACUUUGACUGCUGAGCGAUCAAGUGAAGAAUAAGGGUUAAUACCACUUUGUCCCCUCAAACUUCGGACGAUUACCCACUUCAGUCUCUAAACUUUAAAAUGGGAUACUUAAGUCCCUAAACUUUUAAAAUGGGACACUUAAAUCCCUAAACCCUUAUAAAAUGGGACACUUCGACCACCAAUGGUAUUCAGGAUUUGUUAACAAUUUUCUUUAAGUAUGAGGUAUUUAUAAGUUUAGGGACUUAAAUGUCUCAUUUUGAAGUUUAGGGACUGAAGUGGGUAAUCAUUGAAAGUUUAGGGGGACAAAGUGGUAUUAACCCGAAGAAUAAAGGUUGGCAAGAAUGGUUUUUGGUUGGGAAGGGAGAGAAGCGGGAAAGAGCGAUCAAGUGAAGAAUAAAGCAGAAAAAAAGAAAUAUUAACAAAAAUCCAAAAACGGUUUCCGCUGCCGGGAUUCGAACCCGAAGUUUAACUUAACCCAAUUUGAUAAGUGCCACAGCGGAUGCACUCCCAGUUGUAUACGAGCCUCAGGUUAAUUUAUUUAAACUAAGUUCUGAAACUAAGUCCUCAUAUCCAUCUAAUAUUUCCUUUUUCCAAAAGUGAUCCUUUGAACCCCAAUUUCUAUUACCAAGUGUUUUUUUUUUUUUUGGGUUCCAUUCUACCUCUUCUUUAUCUUUUAUGCAUUCUGCAGAAAUUAAUACUAUGUUCAGAAGUUACUUCCCAAACCAUGAAUUUUCUUGAAUGCCAAAAUUUAAAAAUCCUACUAAUAUCUCUUUGGAGUUUCCUAAUUUUAAGCGCAUUCACUAAAAUUUACAUGUAAAAUUAGAAUUUUCCGAAUAAAUAACUUAUAUACAAUUAGAACUGUAACUCUACUACUAUGGGAACUCGAAAUAUAUAUAUAUAGCCUUUUUCCUUUUGGGAUUUCAAUAUGUCGUCAACGACUGACAUUGUUUAUAGCUAAAUUCGGGGUUCAAUAUAAAUACUAAUAAGAUUCAAAUAAAAUUUUCCCUACCCUUUUCCGACUUCUUAAAUUUUGCUGAAAAUAUUUAAAGAUUCAAAUAAAAUUGUCAAUAAAUGUGACAUCAAUGCAGACUUGCUCAAUGAAUUAAUGAAUGCUGCAUGUUUUAAUACAUGGGAUGAUUAAAUAAACUUAACGGCCAUUCUCUAGACAAGUUAGACAAAGAAAUGUGUUAGAAAAAUGCCCGAGGACAAAAUGUAAACUGCAAAGCUAUAUUCAAGACUCAAGAUUGAAGAGCCGAACCAAACAAUAACUGAACCAGUUCUUUCUCUAUUACACUUUAAAAUCUAAGGAAUUUGGAACAUUUUAAUAAAUUAGCAAAGCAAAAUAUAUAUAUAUAUAUAUAUAUAUAUAUAUAUAUAUAUAUUAGAGAAGAUAGAUUACCGAGGCUCAAUUCUUUAACCUCGCAGAAACAAGAUCAGGUGGCUGUGGACUUCUAACCAUGUGUUACCAUGACCACUACAACAUUGUUAAUUAACGUCCAAAUGAAAGUAACAUGACAUUAUCUAACUUUGAUGUGAAGUUACAAAACUGGACGAGACUCAAAACCAGUUCAAACUGAAAUUGAAUAAAACUGGCAGGAGUCCAUGCAAAAUCAACAUCCACGUUUAGGUAAAAAAAAACCGAAGCUGAAUUGUUUGGAUGGAAAAGGUUGUAGGUGAUUAUCACAUCCCAUAUAGCCUUGGCCUUGAUAAGCAUUAAUGGCUUUAACUUGCCCUGGACAUUGAGGCUCAUAAUUAACCUCAUUGGAACCACCAACAAAGAGCUUCCCUAUGAAAACAGCAGGAAGACUUGUAUGGGAUCCUAAUGCUAGCAAUGCAUUCUCGAUCUCCCUUCCUUUGGGAUGAUAAUCAAGCUCAUAAACAGUAGGAUUCGCCCCGAAACUGCAUAUCAACAUCUUAAUAGCAUGGGAUAUGCAGCAGUUGCUCUUGCUGAAUAUCACAACUGGCUUUUCUGACCCCAAUCUCCUCACUGCUUCCAUUCUGCUUUUGGGAAAAAUAAAAUAAAAAGUCGAGAGAAGUGAUCAAAGGCUUGAAAAUGUGCACUAAUCUUGCUUGAUCUGAUAGGAAUUGUAGGACUUGCUUUUAGAAAAAACUGGAGUGCAUGAAGGUGUAUAUGGAAUGCUGAAGAUGAAUGCAAUAAUUUUUUAACGAAAAGAUUAUAGGGAUGCAAAAUAUUGCUACAAAAUCUGAUGCCUGGAUCAAAUCAGCAGCUAUAUGAAAAAAGGUUGAUAUGUCCCGACUAGACAGAAUCUCAACUCGCUUGAAGAUUCUGAAGUUGGUUUUUUCAUGCAAAAAAAAAAAAAAAAAAGGAAAGUAGCAGAUGAUAACAGUCGUAUUUCGCCUUUUAUCACAUUGAUAUAUUUCCUAUACUAUUUAAGAAUAAGUUAUGUUUAAAGGGGGUUUGAAUUUCAACAGCAUGAAUAGGGGCUUUUGGAAAUGUGAAAUGUUGUAUAGUUUUUUUAGAAUUUUUGUUAUUGUUGAAGGCAACAUGUGUUUAGGUAUAUUUAUCAAAGUGCUCUUUUUGUACGUUUAAAACUUCGAUUUAUGGGAUAAUUUCAGAAACCUCCCCUGAGCUUUGUUAUAAUAUCACUCAACUCCUUUCAAGUUUUUAAAAUCUCACUUACCUCCCCUCAAGUCUUAAUCCAGAAUUUGAGUCAAUCAUCUAGUUAAUUUCUUGCCAAGCGAUAAAUGCAUCACACGACUAUAUUUUAGAUUAAAAGUGUGUUUAAUUAAAUCCUACGCCUCUCUCGAGUCGAUGGUCAUAAGAGUUCAAUUAAAUCCAUUAAAAUUCUCAGUAAUAUAGGUGUAUUACACAUAAUAUAACCUAUUCUCGUGAUUAGUCUACGUGUGUUUAUCUAUUUAUUGCACGGUUGUAUCUCCUUUCUCAAGAGAAAAAGAAGCUAUUGUUUAUCCAGUUGACUGACCCCCCUAGCCCCAAUAGCAAAAAGAAUCUCCCACCCAAAUCUAGAAACAGCGUAGAAUCCUUGACUAAACCAAACGAGGGGCAUGCCAUAAGGCUCAGCAUUUAGAAGGGAGAAGAAGGUACCAAGAAGGGCUCAAGCAGAUUCUCCACGAUCUUGAGACUCGCCCACCAUAUAUAGAUGCCUUUCUCCACAUGAUAAAUGGACUAAGUAAUUAUAUGCAAGGUACAAUCAUAUUUAUCCUUCAUAUCUCAUCAUAUAUUCCUUGGGAAGAAAAACAUUUAAUGACAACUAAGGGUCAGUUUGUACCUUUUUUUUUUUUGUGUUUUGUCGUUUUGCUGCGUUAAAGAAUCUAGGCUUCCAUUUCAAAAUCGAUUAGCACUAAGUGAAGGGAUUCAAGAUCUUCAUUAAUCAUUUUAUUGGUUAGUCUCCCAACCAAUAUGGAUUAUUUAAGCUUUAAUCAAACUGAAUUGCUCUUUUUGACGAACUCUUAAUAGCUUCCAACGCUAGUCCCUGUCAACUAUUAGCAAAAAUCUGCCAUGUCCAUUCGCCACACCGAAGGCAUAUAUCCUGUGAAAAACGACAUCAGAAAUGCAACGACAGCUUGCAUAUCUCAUCUUCUUUUCUUUUCUUUUUUUUUUUUUAAUUGUUCUUGUAAGCGAAGAGUAGGAAGAGAAUAAGGGAAUUAAAAACCUAAUAUUGCUAAGGGCUUUUGUAAUGGAUGCUCUAAGGGCACCGUUAACACAUCCAAUAUUCACCUAACCAACCAUAUAUAUAUAUAUAUAUAUAUAUAUAUAUAUAUAUAUAUAUAUAUAUAUAUAUAUAUAUAUAUAUAUACACACACACACAUAUAUACUAACAAUUAUUAUCUUCUCCUGCAUUUAUAUACUUUUCUUAUUUAAUUUUGUCUACCCUCUCUUGUAUUUAUUUAAUUUCCCUAAUUAAUUUUGUAAUUCCAAAAAUUAUAACACCUGAAAUAUAUUUUAACAAGUGCCCAUAGAACACCCGUUGGACAAAUCAUAUUUCUAAUUUCUGGAGUUACAACCUUAGCUAUGAGGCCAUUUGCAUCUCUCAUCUUAACUAUUCUAAAUGUGCAAAUGACCUCCAACAUUAAUUUGUGAACAUUACUAGAAGAGAAUCGCAUGUAGCUGCAUAAAUCCUUCAUGAAAAAGGAAAAAAUCUUAGGACACGAAGAUUAUCUUUAUCUGACAAGAUAGAGUACAAUAAAAAAAAAUUCUCCAUUCAAUUCAAAGUCUUGUAUAUUUUGGAAAUCAUGCGUUGUUUCUACAAUCAUCUAUAAGCGACCAUGAAUUAACGACUAUUGAAUAUUGUCUCAUGAUGCUGAGUAGUCGCACUUUUAUAAGCAACCACACCCAUUGGAUCAAUGCGAAUGGACUUACCCCUAAGUAUUAUUUUCUUUCUUAUUAACUAGUAAACUAUUUUCGAGUUACAUUCUAAGACACUUCGUCUGUAACCGACAAAUUACAGAUUCGAAUCAUCAAGGGAUAAGUAGAGAAUUAUUCUUGAUCCUCUCAAAAAAAUCUAUAAAAAAAAAAAAAAAAAAAGUUACAAUACCCCUUAGGAGCUUCAAUUUCCCCUGUUUUUUUUCAUCAAUUAUUCUCGUUGUAUAAAAUUUUGUUCAAUGCCAUACAACAAAUUAAGUUUGUCCAAAUCGAAUAUAAUUUUUUCAUCAGAUGACAUGCACUUGCUGCAUCAAAAGAUAAAUAGACCACCAAUGAAACCAACGAAUUUGUGGAUUUAAGAAGAAAAAUAUGCAUCAGAGUUACAUAUUUGUCCAUAAAUCAUUGGUCAUAUAGAGCUCGUAUUUGUCCUUUUAUUUUUUCGUGUGUGUCAAUACAUGUUUUCACCCCAAAUAUUUGAAUUAAUUCAUGCAAUUUUUUACUGUUUACCUGAGUUGUCAAAAUCCGGCUCAAUUAUUGAUGAAUUGAUGGAACUUUUGCUUUUUCUGUCUUUUUUUCGCCUUUUACUCUUUAAUUGGCUGCGCAGUAAAAAUCUAGUAACAUGGUUAAUAACUCAACCAUCAUUGAAACUUGAAUUUUAUUACCAACAAAGAAAAAAUUCUUGAAUUUACAACCUUUUCAUCUCAUGACUUCGAAUUGUCCUUUUUUUUUUUUUCUUAUAAUUAGAGACGUUAGAAUUACAAGUGCAACAACUCAUAAAAAUUGCUGAGAGGUCAAUAAAGGCCAGCACUUAGCAAUAAUGGUUUUUGGUUGGGAUCGGAGAUAAAAAAAAAAAAAAAAAAAAAAAAAAGGUUCACAGAAGCAAAAUUUCUUCUGCUGCCAGGAUUCGAACCCGGCUACAGCAGAUUUGCCCCUUGUUGCUUCCAAGAGUCGGUUUGACAUUAGCUAUUCUUUUCCGUGAAAAAAAUUUUUAUCUAGUGACUAAGAUUGAGACGUCUGGAUAUUAGAGAUUCUAAAUUUAAAUUCCUCCUUUCUUUUCCGUGCUUCUUGAAUUUCAUUCCUCCCAACUAGCCACCCAACAACAAAGAACCUGAUCUAGUUAGUUUGAUUAUGUAGCAGAUUAAAAGUAGGGGAGAAGAUAACUCGUAAAUUAGCUAAACUCAUUUCUUUUCCAUUUGCAUUUUGAAACUGAAGCCUAGUGAAACAGGAUAUAGUGGCAUGGGUGGUCUCCUAAUUAAUACUUCCUCCGUUCCAAUUAUUUUGUCAUGUUUCGAAAAUCUAAUUUAGUAAAAAAUAGUAAUUUGAUUGUAAUAUUUAUAUUUCUCUAUCUAAUUUUACCCGUAGAAAUUCAAAAUUUGAGUUUGAAUGAUAACAUGCAUAUAAUUAAAGAUAAGAAUUAUACUGGAAAAAAAUAUUAAAAAGUAUUUUGACUUUUUUAACAUAACAAAUAUUUUGAAAUAUUUCAAAAUAAAAAAUAUGAUACUUUCAAUGGGACAAAAGGAGCACGAGUUACCAUGAUAUAUAUGACCCACUAGACAUUUUUAUUAUUUCAUAAUGAGAGUACAAGAACGUAAUACAUAUAACUUUGAUGUGAUAUAACUCGACGAAGACUCGAAACGGGUUUAAACUAAAAUUUAAAAAAAAAAACUGGUAGGACUCCAUAUAUGCUAAAACGAGACAGAAGACCUAGGCUGAAUUGCUUAGAUGGUAAAUUCUACGUGUGUUUAUCACAUCCAUAUUGCCCUGGCCUUGAUAAGCAUUGGCUUCAACUUACCCUGGACAUUGAGGUCCAUAACCUCGUUGGAACCACCAACAAAUUGCUUCCCUAUGAAAACGGCAGGUACACUUGGGUAGCAUCCUAAUGCUACCAAUGCAUUCUCCAUUUCCGUUCCUACUGGAUGUUGAUCAAGCUCAUAAACAGUAGGAUUCGCCCCGAAACCGCAUAUCAGCAUCUUAAUAGCGUGGGAAAUGCCGCAGUUGCUCUUGCUGAAGAUCACCACUGGCUUUUCUGACCCCAAUCGCAUCACUAUAUCCAUUCUACUUCUGGCAAAAAUGUGAAAUCAAGAGCUAUGUAUGAAUGUGCUCCAGCAAUUGAGUUAGUUGAUAGGAAGUUAUAAGGCUUGCUUUGGGUGAAAACCUGAAGCGCAUGAAGGUAUAUAUAUAUAGAGGGCUGGCUGAGAAUGACUGGUUGCAAUAUCUCUUUUUUGGAUAACAACAAAAGGGCUAUAAGAUUACUGUUGCAAAUUUGAUGCUUUGGGGGCCGGGUCACAUCAACAGCAAUAUGAUAAAGGAUUGAUAUGAAUCUCAAGCUGCAUUAGCAUUCUGGCACUGGUUUUUCAUGCAGAAAAAGGAAAGUAGUCGACGAUAACAAUCUUUUUGCCUUUCCAUGAUGCUUAGUGCAUGCGGAUACUACUGCUCAUGGAAUCGAUGCGGGAGCGGGGCAUGCACGUACAGUUGUGUUGUAUUUGGUUUUGUCCAGUUAUUAUACAUGUUAUGAUUAAUUAUUGUUGUACAGCCACAUAAUUUUAUUUAUUGUACCAAUUAUGUAUGAAAAAUUUAAAUUACAGUAUAUCAAAAUUUUCACGAAUACAACAAUAUAAUGCUAUUAUAUGUAUAUACCAAACAAUGUAACAUGUAUAAUAAUCGCAAGAAUCGCAUGAAACCAAAUAAUAUUUCGUUUGCAUCACAAACACAUUUUCCAAUUCACCUUUUUAUAUUCUCAACUACUUUUUAUCUCACAUACAUCACAUCAUAAAAAGUGCUACAGUAAUUAUUCUAAAUAAUACUCUAUCCAAACACACUCAAUUUUUUGUUUUAAGUUUUUUGUCCCAAAAUAUUACGAAAGAAAAUGAUAAUUAUAUGCAAAGACGGGCACACAAUGGCAUUACUGAAGUUAAAGUUCAGCCCAAUAAGGUAAAAUUAGUUGCAGAGUUAGGACCUAAUGUUAGAUAGGGCAAUUACUUUGAUGCAUAAUGAUGCGGUACAAUUAAGGCAAAAUUUUUUGUUGAAAAACUUUAAUAACUAGUAUGACAAUGGUGUGAAAUUUGUUAAAAUUGUAUAGUGUUUCACAAUAAUAACAAUUAGAUGAGAAUUAUUUUUUCAUACAAUUAAUAGACAACAAAAUCUUUAUGUACCAAAAGUUUUAAAUUUUAUUUUCUGUCUGCUGAAUUCUCAACUAGUACGUACUUGGCUUCAUUUCAAGCAUUCCAUUAUUCAUAAAUUAAGUGAUAAUUGUAGAUUUCAAGAACUCAAAGGGGCAAAGUAAUUAUGAAAUAUAAGAAAAUUUUAAAAAAUUUUUAGGGGAUGCAAUUAUAUGACAAAAUUAAAAUUUUAAAAUAUUUCCAAGCCUAUUUCAAAAUACUUCAAAGUUGAGGUGAAGCAAUUGCCAACCUUCACUUGAAUGUGGCUCUACCACGGGCUAAAAUGACAAAAUAUUAAAAUAGGAACAAUUGUAAUGUAAUUUCCAAACCAAGCAUUGAGUUCCCUAAAGCCAAAGCCUUUCCUCGACAAUGUUGAACUCAAAAUUAUAAGGACAGGGAGAUUAGCAAUACUCUCAAAUUAAUAUGAUAUGGAAAGACUAAUUUACAUACACAAAAUUAUGAGUGAAAAAAAUUAUAAAAUCUACACUACAUUACUAUCAAGCACUGAAAUUAAGACCCACAACGCUCACUCUUCUCAAACAAAUACAAUAACAAGACACUUUACUUAUAAUUCAUGGGCGAUAAACAAGAAACAACCAUGCACCACAAGAAAUUACCCAAAUAUAGUACUAUUGAAACUACUAGAAAUAAUUGACUUGACCCAAAACCUACUAAUAAAAAAAUUUGAAUUUUAUAAUAUAAUUAGACUUGUUUUAAUAUGCGAAUAGGCAAUAUGAAUUUUACAAAUCUGGCCAGAAAUAUUAAAACAAUUUUUCUAAAACAUCCCUCUUAAUAAAAAGAGAAAAUAUGUUAUUAUUUACCUAAAUGAAUCAUCCCUCAACCAAUAUAAGGAAUCUCCCCCUUCAACAGAAAUAAUAAUGAUGAUGAUAAUAAUAACCAGAUAAUUCCUUCUUUUUUUUUUUUUUGUGGACGAGUUAAAAUUUGUUCCAAAGUGGCAAACUGUAUGAUAAAGCUGAUCCAGAAAAUGACCUACAAUAGAACAAGCUAAUUCUCCACCCAUCCAUUUCAAGAAACAGCACACAAUCUUCGGGUAAAUCAUUAACCAUGAAUGAUGAGCACCUAAUUGAUCCGUGCAAAAAGGACGAAGAAGGUAUCAAGAUUAAUGGCUCCAAACUGUAGCAGAUUCUCCCUUUUAAGCAAUUUUCUUCUUUAUAGCUAAGAAUAUGCUUUCUUGAUUUUCUCCACAUGAUCAUAUUGUCUUUGCCCUCUUAUCAUAUAUUCCUUGAUCAUACAUGUAGAUGCUUAAUGGAGCUAAAGGUCGGUUCUGUAAGCUUUUUGGAAAUUAGAUUAAAGGGCUGAGGAUGAAGCCCUCAUGCUGUCAUGCAUAAGGUACAAAUCUUAAUAUUUUGAUUUUGAGCAUCUUAAAGUUGAUCAAAUCUGUUCUUAAGAACUAAACAAGGAGAAGAAUGAAAUGGGGAAAAAACAAAGAUUAAUUUUUAAUACAUUAUUGUCAGUGUAAUGAUUUAUUUUAUAUUAACAGAUUUAGAUGCAACUCUUUAUCGAAUUUGAAAUCUCCCUUUUGCAAACUCUAUCAUGCAUCCACGUUUUUGUAAAAAAGCUUUUACAAUGACAGUAAAAGAAAAAACAAUUCAUAACAAAAUGCUUGCAUUGCAAAUUGAAGCCUAUUCUCAAACAAGAAAAAAAAAAAAAAAAAAAAAAAGUUCCUUGACGGUAUAUGAUAUCCACUGUCUUGUGAUUGAACUCUUAUAUAUGAAUUUUCCACCUUGUUAAACAGUUAACCUUGAGACCCGUAAAAGAUAGGUAUAGUGUAGAUUUAAAUUCAUGUUCACUAUUGGAACAAAAUCCACGUUGACCCCAAUACCUACAUUAACCAUAUGAUCACGAAAUUUUUAAUUCGACUCUCAAACUCUCCAUUUUAUUUUGUUUUUUUUUUUAAGGCUUGAAAUCUCCCUAGAUUGAAUUAAAAACAAACAAAUAUAUGGAUAUUGAGUCUUCGAGUGCUCUUGUUAAUGCUAAUGUUGAUAUGGAAUCUGGUGUCCUGAGCAAAAUUGUGGUUAAUAUCUCUCAUUCUAUAAAUAUUUCAGUUGACGAUCAUGUGAAUCAUGUUCAAUCUCCUCCUUUGCUCCAUGAUGUAUAGUCUUAUGGUUUUGAUUGAUACUGGGUUGGGAUCAAAUAUUUCUGAUGCAUCUCUCGUGUAGGUUAGGUCUGAUGAGGGUGCUUGCAGUAACUCUCAGGUGGAUCCUUUUUUGUUGACUAAUGAUUUAUGGCAAAUGAAUCUGGUUGGUAAUUAUUCCAGCAUUUCACAAAGUGCCAAUAAUGAUAACAAUGAAGAAGAUCAUUAUUCACAAAAUGAAAGGGAUGAAGCCCUUAGUGAAAAUUAGUUUAUCCCAAUAAUUUCAAAGAAGGUCAAGGGACAGAAGGGAACAUUCAGAGUCUAGCUAGCAAGGCGAUGCAAACACAACAAAAGUUUAGGAUUAAUCUUCUAUACACUAACAGUGUAUACACUUUCACUAUUAGAUGCAUGACACAUAAUUCGAAUUUGAAUUUGAAACUCAAAUAUUGUAUAUGUGUCAUAUAUCCAAUCGUGAUAGUGUAUACACUGUCAGUGUAUAUAAAUUUAUUCAAAAAUUUAAAUCAAAAACUCAAACCAAUCCAUUAUACUACAAACGUGGAGCGUGUUGAGAUUAUUUAUUAUUAAAAUUUGUCAAGUUUACAUUUAGUCAAACUCGGGGGUACGUAUAAACCUAAUUUUUUAUGAGAAAAAUAAUAUAAAUAAUCCCCCCAACCCCCCCCCCCCCCCCCCCCCCCCCCCCCACAAAAGAAAAGGUAUUUGAUUACCACUAUUGCAACUUAGACACAUAACAUUUAUCCUCUUGGAACUUUAGCCUAUCACAAGGCUGGCAUCGUUCAUAACUAAAAUGGUUAUUAAUUAUUUAACCUUUCCCAAAAAAAGUGCUUGAUUUUUAAACUUUCUCUACAAAUCAGCUUUGGAAAAAUGUGCACCACUUGUAGCAAUGUGCUUUUCUCACCAAUUCCACAAAUAAGUGGAGCCCAAAGUUUUCAUUUUUCCUUUUUUUUUUUGGGUUCCAUUCUUGACCUUUAGUGACCAAAAAAGGUGUAUGGGGCGGAGGGAUUCACAGCAAUUAAGAGUUGAAAAUGGCUGGAGUUUAUUAGUGGACUUAGUAUCUCUAAAGAGGAAACUGGAAUUGACUGUUCAAUUGACAGCAAUAAGAGCUGAACUUGAUGUAUCAUUGCUAGGGAAAAAUAUGCCCUAUCCUUUCAGGUUUUAAGUAACCAUUUCUCUCAAAUAGCAAAAAUAUGAGAACAUAACUUAUAACUAAACCAUUUCUUCUCCAUGACACUGUAAAUCUAAAGAACUUGGUAAAGUUUAAUCAAUUAAUUAGCAAAGCAAAAGUACGAGAGAAGAUAAAAAUUGGCUGAACUCAAUUCUUUUCCAUUGUCACUUUAGAACUAAAACGUCACAGAAACAAGGAUCGAUCAAGUGGCAUGGACUCCUAAAUAUGAGUUACCAUGACCACUAUAACAUUUUAAAGACUCAAAACCGGUUAAUACUGAAACUUAACAAGACUGGUAGGAGUGCAUGCUAAACCUACAUUUGCCUUUAGAUGGCUUUCUUCAAUUAAAAGACAAAACAAGAAAGAAAAGUUUCAGUUCGAUGGUAAAUUCUAUAUGUGACUUCUACAUCCAUAUUGCAUUGGCCUUGAUAAGCAGUGGCUUCAACUUGCCCUGAACAUUUAGGUUCAUAACCUCAUCAGAACCACCAACAAGUAGUUUCCCUAUGAAAACAGCAGGAACAGUUGGAUGGCAUCCUAAUGCUAGCAAUGCAUUCUCAAUGUCCCUUCCUUCUGGAUAUUGAUCAAGCUCAUAAACCGUGGGAUUUGCCCCGAAGCUGCAUAUCAACAUGUGAAUAGCAUGGGAUAUGCAGCAGUUGCUCUUGCUGAAGAUCACCACUGGCUUUUCUGAACCCAAUCUCUUCACUAUAUCCAUUCUACUUUUGGCAAAAAUGUGAAGUCCUGGGCUAAAUGAUGUGCUCUAGUAUUUUACUUCAGAGGAAGUUUGAGGGCUUGCUUUGUGUGAAGGCCUGAAGUGCUUGAAGGUAUAUAUAGAGGGCUGGCUGGCUCCGGGCUAGUGAUGGAAGAUUUAUAACAUUUUUCUUCACAAAAUAGCAAAAGGGCCGCAAGAUUUUGCUUGGAAAGUUGAUGCGUUGGGGUUCAUAUCAGCAGGUACAUGAGAAAAGGAUUGAUGUGUAUUCCUUCCUAUAGAGUAUCACAAGUUGCAUUAGCAUCCUUGCAUCGGUUGCUCAUGCAGAAAAUGGAGAGCGGUAGGUGAUAGAUAAGCAAGUAAGAAUCUUUUGCCUUUACUUGAUGCUUUGUGCGGACGUAGUACGGCUCUUGGAUUCCAUACAUACGUCAAAUUUGGGGGAAAAUAUCAGUAUUGUACAAGGAUUUUUUUUUUUUAUUAUUUGAGCUUUCUUCGUUUUCUUCCUGGAGAGCAUGACCAAAAAUAAAUAUGAACCUUUUUUUUUUAAUGGUUCUGGUCACAACCAAGAGUCCUAGCAUGCCUCCAGGACCAUCGAUGGCUUAUAAAAGUACUCACAUAUAUUAUACACCAAGACAACCCUCUCACAUUUGUAGCAGAACUCGAACACAUUCAACUUUUUUGUGAAUAAUUAAUCCGCCCUUAAUAAUUGAUCCAAUGUAUAUUUCCACAUAGGAAUAUAAUAGUUGUAUGCAAUACAAGCACAUAUUAGCAUGAGUGAACUUGAAGUAGGACCAAGCACACAUUCAGCUCCUGUAAUUCUUCUUAUGAUACUCAAUUACUAUAAAUUCAUAUAUGUUUGGUAUGACUGCCAAUUCAAUUGUGUAAGUUGACAAAUUCAAUUUACCCCUAUGUUGUUCUCAAAAGCCAAAUCCCUUUUUGGGCAAUGUCAAUAGUACAAAAGUGGCCAGAGAAGAUGAAACGAGAGAUGGACUUCUCAGAACAUUAUUCCUUCAACUGUGUGGUGCAGGGGAGGGAUUCCCUAUCAGGUACUAAUGCUACCUUUAUUCUAUCUUUUUUAUACAGCUUAGACCACUGAUCAAAAGAGAAAAAAGAAACCAUUGUUUACCAGUUGAUUCAGCCCUCGAUUACUAACAAGAAGGAAUCCCCCUCUCCAAAAGAAACGAAAAAGAAAAUCAUGAUAAGAUCGGAUAAUUUGGCACCCAUCUUUUUCAAGAAACAGCAUACAUUCCUUAACCAAGCCAUUUAUGAGCAUGGUAUCGAAAUCCGUACAAAACGAAGAAGAAGGUACCGAGAAGGACUUUGGAGGAUAGCAGAUUCUCCAUAUUAUUGUUCUCUGUCACAAAAGAAGAUGCUUUCUCGAUUUUCUCCGCAUGACAAAUGGCUUAAACAACCUGGAUCCAACUAUGUUUUCUUUCCCAUCAUAUCAGAUACCCUUUGACAUUUAGGUUCACUUGGAGUUGCGGUGCAUUUACCCCAAAAAAAAAAAAAAAGCUUUUAAGCAGUAAAAAUAUUUUCGGUAACUAAUUUUUCGUAACUUAAGCUGCCCAAGUUUUGGUAACUUAAAAACAACUUUUGUUUGUUUGACCAAAAAAAAAAAAAAAAAAGCUUCUGUUGAAAAUAUUUGUGUAACAAGUGUUUCUUUAUAAUUCACCGUAACGAGACUUAAUGAAGCUAAUAAUCAGUUCUUGAACUUUUUGAAAUAAGGUUAAGGGGCCAAGGAUGGAGCUUUUAUCAAAUCCACCUCCACUCUGUUAAAAAAUUUUGUUAGACUACAAUUUUGACCUUAGGCAAUUUGGAUGAGUGCAACAGAUAUUCAUUUCCAAAUUUUCCAAAUAUAUAGACCAGCCACCAUAAAGAACACAAAUAAAUUAUCUCAAGCACCAGAUUUCACUUUAAACCCUCGAGCCUGAUAAAAUAUAAUAUAUGCUGAUAGUAUAUGUGAUAAUUUAUCUAAAUUUGAAUUUGAAAUCCAUUUUUUACAUAUAUUUUAUGUAUCUAACUGUAAUAUUACAUACAUUAUUGAUACUUACACAUAAGAUUUACUCAAAAAUAUAAAGUAACACAUUUGUUCUGUUAUUCCUGAGCAUCUUAAAAUUGAUCAAAUAAUUGUUUUCUUUUUUUUUUUUUUCUCUCAAGAACAAAAUCCGCAUUGUCGAGCCCCAGCAUCCAACACUUGACAUUCUAACAUCAGAAAGUCGCGUCACAGUGCCAACAGCAACUUGCAUUCUUAUCUUUGAUUUGAGAGUGCAAAUGACAGCAAUUCUCCUCGAGUUAGUAGAAGAGAAUCAACCCUUGAAUUGGCUCGAAUGGUUUCGGGUAGCCUAGUUAGGUCCCGAAGUCGUAUGUUCGAGUCACCUCUCUAUCGCUACUUGUACAUCCUUGAGAGGCGGGAUGCACCGAUGCAGGAAAAUUAGUCUGGUAAAAUUGGAAUACUCCCCGUAUUUUAAAAAAAAAAAAAAAAAAAAAGUAGAAGAGAAUCAAAAGAUGGUUGGUACCCUCCGUCAAGAAAUUAAAGACUGAAAUGGUGGAAGAAAAAGGUGACAAAACGUGGGACAUAAGAUUGUAUCUUAUAUUACAAGCUAGAAUACUACAGAUAAUUUCCACUUUUGAAGUUUGUUCUGCAAAAAAAUUCUCCUUUCAUUUCAAUGUCUUGCAUACUUUGGAAAUCUUGGAUCCUUUUUUACGAUCAAUCAUCCAUAAUCAACCACGAAGUAAAGCUUGAGGAAUUUAAGAAGAUGCUUGCUUUAUUUCGAAGUACAUUAAACAAUAGGAAAAAUACCUAUUUUCAUCCCUAAAUUUUGACUUAUGGACACAUUUCUUCCUCAAAUUUUUAACCAAUUUUAUCCUCAAAUGGGAAACUAAUUAGUAAUUUGAACGGAAAUUAGACACCUGACGAAUAUGAACCUCUUGACUGAAAAGCCUUGCAUGACUUAAAAUUAGCAAAAUAGGAUGGCUAUUUUUACUCUCCCAAUUUCAAUUUCCAUUCAAAUUGAUCAAUUUCUUGUUUGAGGAUGAAAUUGGCCAAAAAUUGAUAGUUCAGAUACUAAAUGUGUUAUGCCAGAAAGUUUGAGAACAAAAUGUAUCCAUGACCCAAGGUUUAGGGAUGACAACUGGCAUUUUCCCUUAAACAAUAUGUAUUUUGAAACAAUUUAUGCAUUUUGAUAUUGGCAUUUCCCCAAGUAAAUUACAGCAAAAGUUCAAGCAUGCAUCGCCUAAUAGAACAUACAACAAAUCAAAUGAAAUUGAGAAAAAUAUCGUAGGAGGAGGGAUGGGGUUGUGACCUUUAAAGCAGAUGAUUUGACCACACGAAGUGGAUUAUCUAAUGUUUCAACUCCAUAUGGCCAUAACCACAGGAAAUUAGAAAAUUUGGAGCAAAACCAACAGUAAUAGCCAAUGACAUGUAGCACAUUCCCGCACCAUAUUAAUUAACAUGAAACUAAUUAAAUUUCAAAAGUUUCAGGUAGAUAAAAAUUAACGGCAUCAAGAUCCAAAAAGGAAAAGAAUAAUCCAUGCACAGUGCUGUGCUAUCAAAAGUUUGCCUAUAAUUCUCUUUUAAGAUAUGAAAAACAGAAAUUUUCAAUCAAUCAGCCACUUCUUACAUCUCUAUAAAACAAACCACUAUCCCAAAUUGUUUAUCGCAUUUCAAAAUUUCAACUUUUUAAGAAUAAUAGCUUCAUGAUGAUGUCAAUGAAUUUGUACUCUCUAAAAUACAAAUUUUAAAUUUGAAUUUAGUAUGAAACAUGAACAAAGGUGGGAAUAACAUUAAAAAAAAAAAAAAAGGGGAUUAAAAGUAACUUUGACUAUACUAAAAUAACAAACAUUUUGAGACAUCCAUUUCUCAAAAUAGAAAGCAUAAUAUUUUCAAUGGACGGAGGAAGUAAUGAUUAACAAGAUGAGAUGUUUUAGCAAAGACACAAGCAAAGCUACUGAGCACACAUCGAAACGGACAUGGAAGUGCAGGUAAGCCACAGAAGAGGAUAAACUAGAUGAUGAAGAUCUCCACCAGCAGGCUGCAGCUCAUGCAUUUUCCAUCUGUUUACUGAAGCGUUUAUUCUGAAAACGCAGAUCUUAGAAGUUGCUACAGACCAUUCUCAGAAAUUUUGUUCCAAGGAUCUCAAAUUUCAUGACAGGCAAGAAAUUUAGUUGGAUCAGCGAAUAGAAACAAUUGACGGCAGUUCAGGUGAACUUAUCCAUUCACCUAUAAGAGCUUGAAACAAAGAUCAUCACAUUUAAAAACAGAACAGAUCAAAAAAUUCACGGAACUACAUGCACAAGACUUGUUGCAGAAAAAGAAGAUAUAUGUAUAGAAAUCAUUAAUCAUAUAAAUCUAUCAGCAGAGUCGAAAUAACUUACUUGAAAAAAAAAAUAAAGAAGGAAAAAGUAAAGGACAAGCAAUGUCAUGUCUAACAUUACAAUGUAAAAAGAGAACAAAAUUGUUGCUUCAGGCCCAAAUUUGAUACAUGUUUUCAGCAACAUCGACGUCACAAACACUACAUUUUGACAAAGGAUCAGUCAUCCCUAUUGAACUGAAGUUGGAAUGACGGAGUUAUAAUGCUCACCAAGCCCAAAUGCAUGCCUAUGGUAUGACAGCAUAAUACUUUUAUUGGAU
rnacentral:lncRNA from 1 species